UUUUUUUUUUUUUUUUUUUUUUUGUUUUGAAGAUAAACUUAUAAUGUGCGGAACCAACUCUAUUCAGGUCUUUUGAUUUCCUAUUAAAAGUUUAUAGUGACUUUAUUUUAUGAAAAUGACGGUUCAAGUGGUCGAAAGGAUAAAAUUCGAAAACACCUUAAAGAUAACAGACCAAAACAGUUAAUUUUAACAUUGCACAUUUCGAAAACACCUUAAAGAUAACAGACCAAAACAGUUAAUUUUAACAUUGCACAUGCCCUAAACGUGACUAACUCCGUUAGAAUCUUUCAAUUUUCUAUUAGAGGUCCUGAAUUAUUAUAAUUAGUAGAGGUCCUAGAUUAUUAUUAUUUUUUUUAUAAAGAUAAGGGAUUAAAAUAGUCGUGGUUAUAGAUAAUAGGCUAAACUACCAAAAUCCUGAAGGCAUGGAACUAAAAUGGUCGUUUUCCCUAUUUAUAAUCUUGAAUCCUGUUUAUAUUUAGAGAGAGAGAGUGCAUGAACAAAAAGAGUUACUCAUAAAUCGGUAAGUCGUUGCUUGAAAAAAUAUGCUACUAGUAGGUGUAUUAAAUUUAAUAAAAAUGCUCAGUGUAUUCAAAUAUUUCACAAAAAGCAAACCUCAAAAAGAACAUCAAAGCAUUUUCGGAAAAGAAUUGUAUAGAUUUUCAAACGAUAUUAACCCUUUGCAUGAAAAAAAACAGAAGUUGUACAAUGAUUCAAAUUAAUUAAUUGGUAACAAUUUUUAUUUUGAGUUCAAUAUGCAAAACUUUACCUAAGAAGUUUGUCUGUUUACUUCAUUUUGACUACAUUCAUACCUCUUGUAGAACAUUUUUACAUGAAAUGCAUGUAUAACAAGUAGAAAAGUAUAUAGUGAGCACGAAAUUAGGAUAGAAAAUUUGUGAAAAACUGUUAAACAUGAUUUACUGUACAGGUGUAGUCUUCACUCUUCAGAUUAUUGUGAUAUAUCAUUCUAACAAGGAUAUUUUAUUUUUCCUCUCAAUUUUUGACGCUAAAUUUAAUUGUUACCAUCUCUCCACAAAAGUAUUUUAAAAUAUUCAUUAAAAAUAAAUAAAUAAAUCUUAUAUACACUAACACUAUAUAUGCGAUCAUCAUUGGAUUCAAGACAUGUGUGCAAAAGUUGGAAUUUAAUUUCAAAUUUUACAUAAUUGUCAUUCAGUAAAAACUGACAGUAUGUACACUAUUAUUGUAAUAAAAAUUAAUCUAAUUUAAGCACUCACAUACAACUUGUUGCAAAUUAUAGUUGACAAUUUUCGUAAUUCGUCUUUGAGAGUCCUAUUUACAUUAUAAUUUCAGCACAGUGCAGUUUGGACGCUCAACGACAAGAAAAUGUCCUGGUAAAUUCCGCAAAAUGUUCGAGGAAUACAGGUAAUGUAUCAGGAGUUGGGAAAUCAUCCAAUUUUGCAAAAGUUGAGGAUAAGAUAGCUUGUCAAUAAGUGUGGUUACUAAAAGAAGAACAUCCUGAGUGGGUUGCCAAACAAGAAAAGAAGACUCGUGACAGUUGUAUCUGUGAUCCCAGAAGGGAUUCCGAAGUCCAAGCUGUGCAAUGCGCGAACUGGGCUUUCGUUGUCAACACUUUCCGUAGCAGAAAUGCAAUUUGCAAGAAAUCACUUGCGCCCGUGCAUUUCCAAACAAUAUUUCGGGGCAUCUCAUUUUCUUGAGAAAACUACACAAGAUUAUCCUGUUCCAAUCUCAAGUAUGAUAGUGAAACUACAACCGGGCUAGAAAAGGAAAAGCUCUCUUCCAGGUCACGAGCAAACCAGAGGAUAGCGUAAACGACACUUCAUUCACCUGGCCUACGAUUUCGACGCAUCUAAUUGGCUUUUAUCCGAUAUUGCUAAUAUUUCCUCUUUUACUUCUAACCGUAUACUGCUGAGUUUCAAAAACAUUAUUAGACAUUACUUACACAGAACAAAUGCAAGAAUACAUUAUGUCAAGUAGGUAAUCAAGGUCAAUUUGCAAAAUUUCAGUUACAGUUUCAAAUUCCCAAAGAUACAGCACUUGUACAAAUUAUGAAUUAGUUGAAAUUUAGCAGCCGGACCACCCCAAAGCGAGUCAAUAAUGUCUUUCCAUAACUGAGAUAUCUAAGCAUCCAUAAAAAACACAAAGUUGAUCGUGAAGGCAAAGCAAGCAGCUGCGAUCCCAUUAUAGGACACCACAGGCCAAUUGUUCAACUGCCGGAGGACCACUUCAGUAACGCAACAGCGGAAGAAGCUUACACUUCCCAUCUCAACAUUCCACUUCUUCCAGUUGCCAGCUCAGGUUCCUCAUCAGGCAAUCAUUGUCUUCCACUAGCCAGUUCCUCCAAUAUAUUUGAGAUACAAGGCAAGAACUCAACGUCAAAAUCAAAGAAUACUUGCACAGCCACAUAAUCUGUCACUGAGUGUAGUCAUAUGAUGAUAUCGAGUCGUUGUUCAGCUUCCUGUUCUCAAGAAGGGGAGAGUUUCUGUAAGCCACAAUUAAGGCUGCCUUGCAAGUAAAAACGUUAAAGGCUAACCAAAUUUGUGGACAGAGGUGACAACCAUCUGGAAUGCCUUUUCGCUACAUAAAUCAGCAUCCAGGUCAAUCUUCAUGCAUAUCAUUUCCUUGUGGAAAUUCUUAACUAUAUUACAUCUUAGGCAACAAAAAGAUCAGGUACUAUUACGACUUCAAAAAAACCCAAAAAUAAACCAUAUGGAAUAGUUAUACUGGUAGACACGGAUGUAAAGAGGUACUGCAACCACCAAACCAAUCCACCUACUUCACUUACCCACCUUAAUCUGUAGGUUUCUCAUCCCCACACUCACCUUGUCAAUGGUAGGCUCACUUUUCACCUCAUUUUUUGUCAGAUUUUCCAUAUUUAGCCAUGGGUGUUGUAGACACUGCUGAGCAGUUGGUCUCUUCUCUGGUUCAAAAUCAAAAAGAGGACAAAGGAACUCUGCAAACUUUUUAGCAUCUGUCUCAGAAAAUUUGUACUUAUCAACAAGUAAUCGAUCAAGUGGCCAGUAUUUUAGCCUUCGGAUUCUCUUUAAAUCUCCAUAUCUAUCAAAGUAAUCCUUGGACCGAGCCCCACCAGUGGCAAUCUGUCUCAAGAAUAAAUUUGGAACAGAAAAUAAAAUCAGAAAUUAGAUUUCUUUAUCAAUGGUUUUCACCAAGAGAGAGGAGGCAGUAUAUAUACUCACCUUCCUAGGCAUCUUACCAAGGAGUUCCAUCAUCAAAGCAAGAUGAUCCUGCAUGCAAAAUAAACAAUAAAAAUGCAGACUCAGAUGAUAAAUCAAUAGUGAAGAUAUACUGCAAUGUUAGCUUAAAAUAAAGGAGAUUUGAAAGUGGUGAGAAAUCACUGGAUAAUCGUUGGGCUCCUAGUGGUAAUGUGCAAGUCAGCAGAUUUAACCUUUGGCAUUACUAAAAGCAUCGAGGUGUUUACCUCUAAAUUAGCUUGAGUUUUAAAAAUAUGUACUGAGAAUUUUUCUUAAAAAGCAGAAAAAACAACCAAGAUCAAGACCAUAGGUUAUCCAUGACAAGAUGUUUUUAUUAACAAAAAAACCCAUUGAACUAUCAAUAUGGCUUUCGUGUAGAAGCAAACUUUCAUCCUUUGUUCUCAUUUUCUCUUUGCCUCUAAAUUGCCUCUAAAGAAAUCCAAGAAACUUAACACCUCACAUGCAGGCAGGAAGAAAACUUUUAAAUUAUUGGAUUAUGUAACAAGACAACGCAUGAAGUCAAAAUAUUUCCACUACCUCAUCAUCACUGUAACCUUGUCCUUCUUUUGGAGUAAACAGCAUUUCACCAGUAGCAAGCUCAACAGCAGUACAAGCGAAUGACCACAUGUCAGCAGAAAAAGAAUAUCCUGAUCUAAGUAUGACUUCUGGAGCUCUGUACUGUCUAGUUUGAAUUUCUUCGGCAAAUUGCUUAUCCGACCAACAUGCGUUUCCAAAAUCCACGACCUUACAUCUGACAUCGAUUCCAUCCAGGGAUCUAUCUGGCUUGGGGGUUGUUCCUACCCCACCCAUUGAAGCCCUUCUUUCUGAUAUCCUAGCCACUGCUCUUCUUGCCCUUUGUUUGAGCUUCUUCUCAACAAGAUUUAUUGCUGCACCACCAUUUUGGUUCCCCUCUGGCCUUUCAAGAAUGGGUGUCAUUCCUGAUUUAACUGGGUCUUUGGAAGGAUUAAUGGUAGAACACAGGAGAAUAUUUUCAGGCUUUAAAUCUGUAUGUAUAAUUCCAAGCUCCCUAUGAAGGUAAUCAAGUCCAGUCAAAAUGCAUUUGCAUAUUUCCCGAACCUUAUUCAACUCAAGGCCUUUGUAGCGGUUAUAUUUGAUCAGCCGCAGCAAGCUAUCACCGAGAAAUUCCAGGACCAUGCAUAAAUGCUGUCCAUUUGGGCCUGCGUGCUUAAAGUGGUCUACUAAGCGUAUGACAUAUUUGCUAUUAGAGGCAUCACCAUCAGCAAUAGCAGAAAGAAUUUCAAUUUCGUGGAGCGCAGCUUGAGCAAAUUGUGGAGCACUUUUUUGGAUCUUCAGAGCAACAUAUCUCUGUAUAAGGAUGGAAAAAAUGAAAAACAAUGAUCAGCACCAGAAAAGCAUCCAGCCUGAUAUAAAUAGGACACUUUAGACAUAGACAAGUGAAUUUACCAAAAGUUUAUCUAAAACAUACCAUUAUGCAAGGCAAGUUGAAAUGGUUCAGAGCUCCUCAACAUAUACACAUUGUGCAUUACCUCAAAAAUAGAAACUAACAGGCUGCCGACUAAUGACAAUAUUGACAUUAUUAUUCUUUCAUCAUUUGUCCAUUUUAGCUAAGACUGACAAGAAACUGAAUUUGCAAACCACUUUAAUCCAAUUAAAAACUUGUUAUCAAGAAUUCAGGCAUCAGCACCAAAACUGCUUCACGAUGCCUAUUUACAUCACUAUAUUUAGUUUAAAUCCUCAGCAACCAGUGGUCGUGAUAAAUGCUAGAAAACAAUUUCAAAUGAUCAUCAAACAUAUUUGGGGAAGGGGGAAGGGGGGAGGGGGGAGCUUUUAGUCCGCAACCACAAGCACCAGUAACUUCGUACGUAAUUCAAAGCUAUUCCAACUGCUAAGGACCUCUAAGCUCACAUUUCCAAAUCCAAGAAGAAAUUAGCGCAGAUAUUAAGCAUUUAAGCCGCAUCACAGGUGAAACACCGACACAGCAUGCAUUGAAAUCUUCAGUGAAGCUUAAGAAAUGAUACUACUAAUACCUUUGUACCUAAUUUAGAUACGGCUGCCUGCCAGACGAAUUUAAAAUAUUUAAAACAAAAUAAAAGAACUAGAAUCCAGCUCUCUGAUCAAAUGAUUAAUAAGGAAAAGGAAAAAAUUCGAUAACAUUAUCAUAUAAGCACCUGAUCAUUUCAAAUAAUAAAUUCAUAGCAUAUUUCCGAAUUUGGCAGCAAACACAAAGAUUCCGAAUCAAAUCAGUCCACAAUAAUUCUAAAAAAAAAUUACUUUCAUAACUGCAGCAGCAUACACGGUGAUCUCCAUUUAAAUAAUUCUAAUGUCAUUCAGUUUAUGAAUUAAAAACUACAGUAUGCAAAUUAAGUCAAGAAUUAAACGGAAAACGUACAGAUGAUCGAGUAUCAUAAGCCAGCCAAACGGUGGAGAACUGUCCCCAGCCGAGUUUACGCUGAGCGAUGUAUCGUCCACCGGCGAACGAAUCGCCGACUCGCACCGCGUGGUAUCCACCUUUUCUGUAAGAGUCAAUUCCCUCAUCCUCAUCCUCCGACGCCGACGACGAAGAACAGGACAUGAUUGAUCGAUGUAUAUAAUUUACUGCAAAAGCCGAUCUCUCCAGAAAUUGAUCUUCUUCGCCUUCUUAUCUCCAAAUUACAGCAGAAAUGAAGCUGAAGCAAGCUAAAAAUCAGAAAAUAAUUUAGAACGGAAUGAAAGACUUGAAAAAAAAAGUGGGAGAGAUAUAUUCAGAGGAAACUGAAAAGAAGGAAAAGAACUGAUUUAUGUUGCUUUGCGAGUUAACUGUUUAGUAUGGCAUGUGGCCUUCAACACAAGGCUUCUCCUGUUUUUGCUCUUGUUUUUUCUCUCUUUUUUCCCCAUUUUUCUAAUAUAUAUUUUUUAUUUUUAUAAUUUUUAGUGGAACUAAAUCAGGGUGAAGGGGUUGAAUUUGCUUUCCGACUUUACCCAUUUUGGGUUAAUGUGGGAAGUCUACUUUUUAUGGUCCUUGCAUCUACGAUUGUAAAAUACUUCUAUCUACUCAAGUCAUACACCCAUAUAUUUUUACGAUGGAUUAUUUAUAGACAUGAAAAUUGGACUUGGCUCAACUAAUUUUUUGGAUCUGAUUUUGGCUUUUGAUUUUUAAAAAUCUCAACUCCUUUUAGAAAUCUGAUUUUAGAUUUUUGUUGGUCCAAAAAAAACUAAAAGUCAUAAUCAGGUUUGGGUUGUGUUUAUGGUUCUAAUUCUAGAUUAUUUUCUUGUGUAAAUAAAAAUACCCUCACAAUUUUAGUAUAAUCACUAAAGUGUCUACAAGUCAGAUAAUCUCUCAUUCCUCCAGUACUAAUCCCAAUCUCUUUUAUAUUAAUCCAAUUCUCGUGUAUGUUUGAUGGCGGAAUAAAAAAGGUGUAUUAGUUGGGGUGGAGCGAUCGAUGGGGAAGAUGUUGAUAUGCCUUAGCCAACCGCCAUCUGCUUUAAUUAAAUAGGGAAAACAAAUGAUUAAGGUGGAUACUAUACCAUUAAUUAAUGAUAAUCUAUGUAUGCUGAAGACACAGAAGAGCGAAUUCAAAUACAAAAUUUUGUUGCACGCAACGAAUAAAAGAUUGUUGAUGUGGAGUUUGUGCCUUUAGCUCUUUCCCCCCCCCCCCCCCUUUUUUUUCUAGGUAACAUUUUUUUUUCCUAACGAAGUGGAUGUUCGGGUCAAUCCUUACAGGAUCCGAUUAAUCCCACUCCGAUCCGGAAAAAGAGGCCCCAUCCCUCGAAUACAAUAAUCACAGAAUUCGGACCCUUACAGGCACUGGACACCAGUUCCUAAAGAGACUUGCUGAGACCAACCGAGUUAUCCACGAAGGACAGACAAUUUGGUGGGAGACAAGGAUUGAACCCCUGACAUCCCACCCCAUCAGGAGAGGUGGUGGCUACUAAAUUCAAGCAGGAGAGGCAAGGUUUUUUUUUUUUUUUUUCUAGGUAGCAUGGAUUGAUAUCUUUUGAGAUUCGAGAUUUUACCAGUACAGUCACUUCUACCCCGUAUUUCAUAGGUUCGUGCAUUUGCGGUAUUUGACAGACGACACUUGUGUAAUGGAGCCUAAUUCUGUCGUGUUAAAAUUUGGCUUGAUCCAUUAAUCAUUUCUAAUAAUUGUGUUGAGGUUGAUUGCACUUUUUCUGCGGCCAAUUAAUUUGUUUUUAAUAUGUUUAUGCUUGUUGAAGCAAGUUGAACCCAACUUCGAUAUUUAAUGACUAAGGUGAACCUUGACCGGAAUUAGUUGGAUUAGUUCAAGAACCAACCCUUAAUUAGCAUUUAAUGUAUAGUCUCCGCUUGAGUCAAGUGUCAAAUAAAAGAUCCCGUUUAGAUUAUUAUCUUUAACAUUUUUUUAUAAAAAAAAUAUUAUAACGAUUUGAUGUAUAUAAGAUAAAAAAUAUUAAUUUUUUUCUCAAAAAAUAGCAAUUCAAAUAUCCAACAUCAUCCUUGACUGCAUUAAAUAACAAACAAAGAAAUAACUUUAAAGGCCAAUUGCAGACUAGGACAGGAGAUUAUUUGCUCAAAUUUAUUUGCUUACAUCAUUGUUACAAUUUUCAAUACACCUUUUUAUCUUCCCAAUUACCUUUUUAUCUCAUAUAUAUCACAUCACAAAAAGUGUUACAAUAAAAAAUAUCUCAAAUAAUUUACAAUUCAAACACACUCUAGAGGUUUGUUUGGAUAGGAAGUUAUUUGAAAUGUUUAUUUGAUUUGGAAAGUAAGUUAUUUGAAAUAAUUACUGUAGCACUUUUUUUACGAUUUAAUAUAUGUGAGAUAAAAAAAAUGACUGGAAAUUGUGUAUAUGAUGCAAAUAAAACAAAAUCUGAAAUUUUUAUUUGAAAAUCUUGCAAUCCAAACAAACCCAAGAGUGUGACUCCCGAUAUUUAAAGGUCAUGAUAAAUCCUCGGUAAUUAUAUUGAACCGUCUAAAACUAUUUGUCCAUUUAAGCCACUCACCCCAAGGGGAGGGGGAGUGAACAAUUAGCUGUUCAAGUAUACCAGAACAAUAUAACACCUUCUGUAGUCCAUCGUAAAUUGUUUGUAUAAUAUUAUAGCAAAUAUGUUAAAAUUAAUUAUUAUUUACGUGAAUUCUAUAUAUAAUUAUGCGUAUCAAAACUUCGUAAAGUUGUUAUAUUCAUUCUUACAUUUAAAAAUUUUGAGCCAUCAUUGAAUUUGUUUGAAUUUUAGUUUAAUUUUUAUUUACUUGUAUCAUUAACAUACUUUUAAUUAUCUGUUUUAUUUCACGUAUAUUAUGUCAAAAAAGUGCUAUAAUAUAUAUAUUUUUUAAAGUUAUAUCCAAUAAUCUACUAUCCAAAUUAUUGUUUGGAACUAGCCCUUUGUUCUCAUCCUAAAAAGGGCGCAGCGUUGCAAUGAUUAACAUUUUGUAUUUCGAGUCAUGAAGGUCAAGUCACAGAUAGCGUUGAAGCUGAAGUGUAUAGCUUUUACAUGGCCAGAGCGGUCCUGAGCUUUUACACUUGGGGCCUUGAGCCAUAAUGACGAUUGGAAACGUGUUACUUGGAUAAAGUUUAAGAAUAAUUUAAAGCUCAUCUUGUUCAUAUCAGUGAUAAAUAGUCCAGGUAAGGCAGUUUUGGAGUAGUUAGUGCUAAGGAUUUUUUUAAUAACUGCUGUUGUGUGGCUUAAUCUAUUGCUCUCAUCCUUUAUCAACCUAUACUUUAUGCAAAAGAAAGAAAAAGAACAACGAUAGUGGGCAUAGUUAUGCACUAAUUGCUAAAGGGGAACUUCUCAAGCUUGAUACCACUGUGGCAUUACUAAGAAGAAAAUGCCAUAUUCUUAUGCUACAAAUACACUCUGUUUGGAUUAGGUUUUAUAUAUACACUACUAGUUUUUCAGAUAUAAAUCCAGAAUAACACUUCUAAAUGUAUCUCAAAAACACCUGAAUACAUCAAUCAAAGAUACUAAAAAAUAAUAAUUAGAAAAAAUUACGAUUCAUUUUUUUCCUCUAUUACCAUUCCUACUUCUGUCACCGCCGCUAUCACCAUCCCUCUUUCCAUUCUUCACCUGUCCAUUUUCCCUCUCCUUCUCCCCGCCACCUCCACAUUUGUUUGAUCUAUCUGUCAAAUCAAAGGACAAAAAAAAAAAAAAAAGACUUAAAUAGUGAUUUGUUUCUCUCUUUCAUCAUUUUUUUAUUUUAUUUUUUUACCUUUUCAUAUAUCUCUACACCUUUCUCAUUCCAACUAUCAGAUUCAGAAUUCAAAAUUUGAACUUGACAAUAAGAACAACUCUAAAAACCCUCCUUGAUGAGAAGAACUCUUCCAUCUUUUUAUUGUGGGUAAAAAACAAAAAAAUCCCCUGUGGUUAGUCUAAUACACAGAAAAGUCCCCCAUGGUUUCAAAAUAUACAACACGACCCCUCAUGCUUUGAACUAAAUUGUAAAGGUGACAAAAUCCGUUAAACUUAACGGAAAUGGACGAAAUGACCAAUAUGCACUGAUAUAAUUAAGCAAAAGACAGCUAAAAAAAAUCAUUUGUUUUAUUCUCUAAGUAGAGAGAAUUGAGGGUUAAGGGGUAGAAUAGGUAUAUUUGAUAAAAAUUAGGCAUAAAAAAUUUUUUUUAGGUUCCGUUAAGUUUAACGGAUUCCGUCACCUUUAUAAUUUAAUUCAAAAUAUGAGGUAUUGUAUUGUAUAUUUUGAAAUUAUAGGGGGUUUUUCUGUGUAUUAGGUUUAUCACAGGGAGCAUUUUUGUUUUUUACCCUUUUAUUGUAAUCUCACAAUUGAGAAUUUCUUGUCUCAUUAAUUUUUUAACCAUUACUCUCGACUCAUCUGACAUGGGCUGAUCUUGUGCAAGUUGGACUAUAGAAGACAAUUCGAGCAAUAGUCCAAACGAUAAACAAGUCCAGUCCACGACAUGGCGCUACGGACAAUACUGAACCAGACCAUUUUCUUUUUAACUCCCACCAAAAGAACCAUCGUCCCAAAAUUUUGCUAAAUAAUAGUAUGCAAAACCAUCCCUCCCAAUCACUUUUGGCAAUUUUAUCAGUCGAAUUUGACACUUUUGCCAAUCACUUUUGGCAAUUUAUCAUUAAAAGAGAUUUUAGGUGUUAAUUUUUGAAAAUACGUGAUUAAUUUGAAAAAUUAUUUAAGGGAUUCAAUAUUUGUGAUUGUGCGUAUUCCAAUGAUUUAUUAAGUGUAAUUUAAUUGUAUUAACUAGUGCUCACUAGAAAAAAUUAUUUCCUUUUUAUGUCUUUUUUUUUUCAAUAUUGAAGUAGUAGGUAGUACCCCUUCUUUAAUCAAAAUUAAUUGUCUAAUAAAACCAAGGAGCGUAUUUGGAAUUUUGGAUAGACAAUUUUUUGGAGAAACUUUUUUAGUUGCGAAAUUAAGUCGAUUCAUAAUUAUUUUUAAGAUUUUUAAUCAUUUUAUCUCAUACAAAAUUUUCAUUCCCACCACUCUCUUGCUAAAAAAACUGAUAUAAAUUACAUUUUUUCAAUCCCACUUAUUUUUUGUUAAAAAAACUGAUUUAAAUUACGUGACAAGAAGUGAUAUAUUAUCGUUACAGAAAAUUGUUGUUCCAAACAAUCUUCCGUCCAAACAGAGUUAGUAAAUUAAAAUCGCUAUCGCCCCUCCAGGUUCGGUCCCAUGGUUGUAGUCCCAGUUGGGGAGAGUCACGUCCAGGGAUCGAAUCCCGGUUCUACCGUGACCGGUGACGCUUGGGGCAGGCCUCUCCCAACCCGUAAUGGGAUUAGUUGGGUCGUACGGUAACCAGUCCACGGACCCAGAUACCCACUAUGAAGAAAAAAAAAAAAUCGCUAUCAUUUGCAAGAAUCCAUAUGAAAAUUUCCACUACUGCAAAAAAAAAAAAAACUGCAAUAAACAGGCUGUCCUACACUCCUACGCUCCAAGCCCAAUUUCCAACACUACCCCUUUGUACAACUCGAUUUCAUGCAUGCAUCAUGAUACAUCCCUUCAGUCACAUCGAACAGGAAACCCCACCAGCCACCCAUUACAUCAGUUCCCCAUCAGAACCAGGGGUACAUCUGUAAAUCUAUCCACCAUUAUUUCCUCCAAUUUGCUAGAUCCUUUUAUUUUUCUUCGCCUCGCCCGAAACAGAAAAUAAUCCAAAACAAACCCCCAGCCUGGGUCAAAUCUUUCCGUCAAUUGUCAAAAAUUAAAAUAAAAACCACGCACCUUCACCAUUGCACUGUGAUUUGUGCUCUCCAUCGAAAGCACCAAAUAAAAAAAAAAAAAAGAAAAGAAACCAAUCCCCUCUUCCAUCGCCGGCCAACCAACGGCGGCGCUCCGCCGUCAAUAUAUAGUCUUUCAACAUCAAUUCACAAUUACAUCAUUCGUCUGUUGAGACGGUGUCGUCGGAUCGUUUAAACCCUUGCUUCCUUCCAUUUUUAUUUAUGCGGAGAAAUGAAUUUGCAUGGAUUCUAAUUGAGUAGAUCCUUCUCGAUCUUCGGAAUCGAAUUGAGCUGUUUUUUAUUUUUGGUGACGAUUCGAUUGGGGAAAAUGGCGCAGAGUCAAACGCAGGCUCCGAAUAUGGAUCAAUUCGAGGUAUAUUUUAAGAGAGCAGAUUUGGAUCAAGAUGGUCGGAUCAGUGGAAGCGAGGCCGUGUCCUUCUUUCAAGCCGCAAAUUUACCUCGACAAGUACUCGCUCAGGUUCGUACUACUUCCCUACUAGGCUACUGCUGCUUAUGUUUUGUUCCAUUCUCAAUAUACUGAAUUUUGCUGCUCUUUUAUUUAUUUAUUUGUAAUUUUCCAAAAUUAGUUCUUUUUUGGUGUAUUUCUUGGUGGUUGUAUUUCAUAGUAAAAUCACGUGCUUUAGUAUAAAGUGUAAAAUUUGUGUUCUUGUAUGUGAGAACCGGGUGAGAGUGGGUUAACUGUGAUUUUUCAGCUUCGUAGCUACUUUGACAGAAGUGGAGCUCGGGAAAUAGGUGGUUAGGCUACUGGGAUAAGUUGCAAUCUUUUAUAAAUUAUGGCUGUCAUCCCUAAAGGAAGAAAGGUAGAAAAAGAGAGAUGUGCUAAUAAGGAGUAUAUCGAGAUGCACAUGGUGCAAGAAAGAUCGAAUAUGGCAGUGUGGAUUCUUUGUGCGCUCUUGGAGAUAGACCUUAAAGCUUGAAAUUUGUGGUUUUUACCCUUUUUCUGAAAUUGGUUUUUGUUUUCUCAUAUUUUUAGUCCUUGAUGAGAGAUGUAAAUGGUGUGGUGAAUGGUUUUUCUGGAUUUGAAAGUCGUAAAUAGUAGUAUGUUCAAAGUGGUGAAUUCCAGAUUGCUAAAGCCACAAAUGUUGGCAUGGAUGGAAAGGGAAUAAGGGAUGCAUCUUGCUUACCUUGCUCCCUCCUAAAAGAAAUGGAAACACGCAAUAGUCUUUGCUUGAUGCUACAUGUAGGAUAAGUUUGUUUGGUCGAUAUAAGGUUUGCAAUAAAUGGAACAGAGAAAUAGGUGCCUUUGACUUAGUUAUGUGCUCCUCUUGCCCUUGCGGUGGCAAAUAUCUUCUUCUGUUCAUCUCUUUAUAUGUCUUCCUUUUCACAAGUGUGCCCAGCUACCCACCCCCCCGCAGACACAGAGAUUUUGCUUAAGACAUGCAUGUUUUUCUGAUUUCACUUUCGGUCUAAGUGAAUUAUGUAGCAUUACUGUAUGAUAAGGUUAUGUAAUGCUUGAUUCCACGAGAUUUUAUUUUGAACAGCAUAUAACUGUUUAAUAGAUGUGUAUACUUUCGUGUAACAGUUGGCAAUAUUUGAUAUGUGACUAAUAUUCAGGAUUUCAUGUGAUUUUAUCAGCUUUUGAUGGUUUUGUCUUAGGUAAAACUCUAAUACGCAGAGAGUCCUAGAGGCUUGUAUGGGCUUAUUUUAUUGUGUAUGUAAAUGUCCCUCAUUAUUUUUCAAUACUCUUGCUAGCACCUGCUUUUUUCCUGUUAAAAAUCAAUACGGCACUAUUGUUUACAUAUUCCUCUCUUUCUUGCUAAUGUUAAUUACAGUUUCAUUUUCAAAUUUUUGUAUUUUUGUGUUAAUGGUGUAAAGUUAAUCUUAAGUAUUCUAUCGUAUUAUUUUAGAUAGAGGACUACCACUAUUAACACAUCGCUCAAAUACUGUCCUUUGUCUGUUCACAAUAUCAUGGAAGAGAGAAAUAGGUAAAUACUGAGUUUGCUACUUAUUUACGAGUGGGAACAGGUAAGGACUAGCAAAAGUGGUUUGUUAUCUUAUUUUAGUAGUGCUGGAACUUAUUGCUGACUUCUUUCGAGUGUGAUAUGUGCUUAUGAUUGCACCUGUUGCAAAACCACGCUCCAAAAUGUGUAUUUAGUAUGUUAGGACUCAUAUAUACCAAAGUAAUUGUUAUUUCACCAUGUGGUUCAUGGUGCAUAAUCAUGCCCAUGCUUUGUUAGAAAGUUUAAGGUAGUGAAAGUGAUAAUUGCUAGUUGUGUUCGCUUUUCAUGCUACAUUUAUUAUUAUUUUUUUAAUGCGCAAACAGUGAUCUGGUGUUCUGUGUCUCAUGGAGCAUUCUUUAUUAAUGUAACUUCAACUUAAUUUUACUCAUUCAUUUUUGUUUGGUUGCCAUGUUCCAGUUAGUGAUUUGGAUUCUCAAACUGCAGACCUGCAAUUACCUUUAUUAAACAGAUCGUUUUUCUGAAGUGUAAUAAUAGGAACAGGUCAAUUUCAGUUUUAUUUCUAUUUGCAUUUAGUUCUGCUUUAUGGCCUAGGCAGGGCCAGUCCAUUAAUGAUAUUGAGGUUUGAGCACCUUUUUGGGUGAUUUCCAUCUGAACAAUUGGAUCUCAUUUCUAAUAUAAGAUCUUUGUCCUUUAUCCAAUCAAUUAUGCUGUUGUCUUGUCGAAAUGUACUGCUGUUGUUUAAUUCUUUUUCUAAUGAGGCAUGAAUUUAAAAUUGUGAAUGAGUUUGUUAUGUAUAUAUUUGCAAAUGUUUAGUGAUACUACAUUUCUGUUAUUUUCAACUUUGUUUACAUGAAAUAGAAUUGUUUACAGUUCAUAUGCUGCUUUUUGAGAUUUGAACAUUACAUAUUUGAAAUGACUACUUUUGUGGUUUUUCGCAGAUAUGGACGAUUGCUGAUCAAAAUCGAACUGGGUUCCUUGGUCGUCAAGAAUUUUAUAAUGCUCUUAAGCUUGUUACAGUAGCUCAAAGUAAGCGAGAGUUGACACCAGAUAUAGUAAAAGCUGCAUUAUAUAGUCCAGCUUCGGCAAAAAUUCCUGCUCCCAAAAUUAACCUUACACCUAGCCCAGGCACUCAAUCAAAUUUUACAGCAGGGUCUGCUGUCCCACCACAAAGUGCUACCGCUGCAGUGCCACCUCAAACUAUUGGCAUCAGGGCCUCGCAGGGACUUACAUCUCAGCAAAGUCAAGUUAUGAGGCCGCCUCGACCCCCACUUCCUAGUGCUACUUUUCAAUCUCCACAAGUUGUUGGCGGUCCACGAAUGCCUCAUCAUGGAGGUAUCGUGCCGGUUUCUAAUCCUCCAAGUUCCUCUCCAUCCCUUGGUGAAAACAAUGGUGUCUCCCAGGCUGGACUUUCUUUUCAAUCAAAUAGAAGUGUGGGACCUGUAGGGCAGGAUAGUUUUGCGGUGGCUGCAUCUGGAUUACCACCUUCUACACAACCUGGAGCACAAGCAGCCUCUGUCUUGCAACCUGCUUCAUCUAAACCAAGUGAUACUUCAGUCAGUAACCUUGUGGAAGUGAAAGAUUCCAAAGCAGUUGCUGUGGCUUCUAAUGGAUAUGCACCAGACUCACUUUUUGGAGAUGUCUUUUCAGCUGCACCUAUUCAAACAAAACAAGAUUCUACCAAAGUUACAUCUGGUGUUAGCAGCUUACCUGUAUCAUCUGCAAUUGUUCCAACAUCUAUGGGAGUGCAAACUGCAGUUACAUCUAGUCCCCUUGAUUCUACCAAUGUUACAGCUGGUGUUAGUAGCUUACCUGUCUCAUCUGCCAUUGUUCCAACUUCAUUGGGAGCACAACCUCCUGUGGGUAGUCAACACCAUCAAGGACAGUUACCAGUGAAGCCAAACCAACAAUUUUUGACACAAGCAUCCCCUGCAUUGCCUUCUGGAGCUGUAAAUUCUGCAGGUUGGCCAAGGAUGACUCAGUCUGAUAUUCAAAAAUAUAGCAAAGUGUUUAUGCAAGUGGACACUGACCGAGAUGGAAAAAUCACUGGUGAACAGGCUCGCAACCUUUUCCUCAGUUGGGGGCUGCGAAGAGGUGUGACGGCUUCAUUUGAUGCAGAAACAAACACAAGCACACAUGCACAUAUGUUUAUAUGAAUUUUUCUUCUUUUGUUGUUUCUAUAGUGUUGUCCUUGCUUGUGGUUUGCGGUGAUUGUAUGAAGCAAUGUUACUUUACUGGUUCAGUGUGUAGUAUCUACUUGUGCUAUCUGCUGUCCACGAAUUCACCAUUUCUUGUUAGUUUUAAAAGAUCAUCUAACUUCAACUGGUGCAUUAUCUCCAUGACUUAAUUUUGAUUAUCACUCUCCUAUAAAGCUUGGAUUGUUGUAUGGAUGGUAACUCAUGGAUGUGGUCUUUCAAAUGAGACAUUCCUUGAUUACAAAUAGAUCCUAUCUUGGCGAUUUCAUUUUAUUGCAAAAAUAACCAGUGACUGGUGAGAAGCUAUUGAACCUUUAAAAACCCCUCAGUUCUAUUUUUUGCUUGAGAUAUGCCCUUUAAAACACUGAUAUCUUGAGUGAACUGUCCGUAGCAUCUGGCACAAUCCUUUCAACUCAUUUGGUUUUGGGGCAUGUUUUAUUUUAGUUAGGAAAAUUUAUGAGGUUCAGUCAUAAGAAGUUAAGGUAUAGUGUUCUUUCUCCUCUGUUCUUGUCAGUUUUGGUCUGAAUUGUCUGUUUAUUGUAAAAGGUGUGACUCAGUUGUGAAAUUAAAUUGUUUUGAUGUGGCUUUUAUUCUUGCCGAAUUUGGUUCUGAUUCUUCAAAUGUUUUUCCCCUUAUGUGCUGUCAUUAAGUUAUUCGUUUUUGCUAAAUAUCUUUUGUUGAAUAUUAGUAUCUCUUGGUCUUUCAGAGGUGUUAAAGCAAGUAUGGGACUUGUCUGAUCAAGACAAUGACAGUAUGCUUUCCUUGAGGGAAUUCUGCGUUGCUCUCUAUUUCAUGGAACGGCACAGGGAGGGUCAGCCCCUUCCUACUGUGCUCCCAAGUGGUAUCAUGUUUGACGAGACAACAUUACCUGUCAUGAACCAACCUGUUGCACCUCAAGGAAAUACAGUUUGGAGAGCUACUUCAGGUAGUCACAUUUAUUUUUAUUUUUAUUUUUUUUUCCAUUACAGAUGAUUCUAUCCAAUGUUAGCUAGAUCCAUGAUCCAUUUCAUUUGUAUUAGCUUUUCAGCAACCACAUUCUACGAAGCCGCCUCCUGGGAAGCCACCUCGUCCCGUUCCUGUUCCUCAACCUGACGAUUCCGUGCACCCAAGUCGGCAAAAACCUAAAGUUCCUGUUCUGGAGAAGCAUCUUUUGGAUCAACUUAGCACAGAGGAACAGAAUGCACUGAACUCAAAGUUUCAGGAAGCGUCUGAUGCAGAAAAGAAGGUCAGUUUUGAUUUUUCUAUGACACGCUAUUGUUAGCCCAUCUCCUUGUUCUAUUACCUUUUGGGUACACAGCAGUCAUGAACAUAUGCCAGCAGAUGUAAUGUUAUCUGAUUUUUAUUCUGUUUUUUUGUUCUUUUUUUGUUUUUUUUUUUUGGGGUGGGGGGUGGGGGUUUCUUGCUUGAUGAAGUUGCUGGAUCUGUAGCUUUGGUUCUGCCCUCUGAAAUACCUAUGUGGAUUUGUAACCUCAUGUAGUUGCAUCCCUUUUCAUCUUAACAAUAUAAGAACUGAAUCCAACUAUUGUUUCCGAUGAAAUUGGUCUGUUUUGCCACCUGGAAUAACAGAUGAUAAGCAAAAUUUCCACAUUAUUCUUCUGUUUUGUCAAUUUCAGGUAGCAGAAUUGGAGAAGGAGAUACUAGAUGCUAGAGAGAAAAUUCAGUUCUACCAUGCAAAGAUGCAAGAACUUGUGGGUAUCUUUUCUCCUCUGUUGGACAUCAUUUGUCUGUUUAAAUUUAUGUCCUGAACAUUUAGCAGAUUUGAUUUGUCCAUUGUCAUAAUUUAAGUUGGUCUUAUUUCUUGUUUUGAAGUGGGUUACACAGUAUAAAAAUCUUAGUAGUUGAGGCUUCUUCAAUAUCAAGACUCAAAUAUUACACUAUUGAUAUCGGUGAAAGAGCAUUAAUGGCAUCUAUUCUGUUCAUUCCAUUGAUUCCAGAUCCUGUACAAAAGUCGAUGUGACAAUCGACUGAAUGAGAUCACUGAAAGGGUUUCUGCUGAUAAGCGAGAGGUAGUCCCUUUGAUUGUGGCAUCAGUUACUCUCUCUUGUUUUCACUGGCUUUUGCCUAAGAGAAGUGUAUUGUUGUUAAGGUGGAGUUACUGGGGAAGAAAUAUGAAGAGAAGUAUAGGCAGGCAGGAGACGUGGCAUCCAAAUUGACAAUAGAAGAGGCCACAUUUCGGGACAUUCAGGUAGCUUUCUGGAUUCUUUUGCUAAGUGCUUCUGCUAUAUAUGUCUGCUAUUACCUUCUUCAUGUUUCUUUCAACUUCUAAAAUCUAAUUGUACUAUUCUUAAUAUUGCUUGAUAAAGCGCAUUUACAAAUGUAAUAUUGUGCUUAAUCCUUUGCAGGAGAAAAAGAUGGAGCUUUAUCGAGUAAUUGUCAAAAUGGAACAAGAUGGUGGCGCUGACAGUAUUCAGGUACUUUUUACAACUGAGAGGUUUCUUGCUAAUAAGAUAAGCUUAUUUUUUCUGAUCCCAAUUUUGGCAUUCACAGGAACGUGCUAAUCGUAUCCAGUUGGAUCUUGAGGAGCUAGUAAAAUCACUGAAUGAACGUUGCAAAACUUAUGGAUUACGUGCCAAACCAACCUCACUAGUUGAGCUUCCAUUUGGUACUUUCAGAGUCAUAAUUCCCCUUGGCCUUGCUGCUGAUCUUCAAUAUUUUAUUUGAUUUAUUUAUAUACUGAGUUGCAGUCCUAUUUUACAGCUAGACAAGCAAAACGUAGAUUUAAAACUUAAGUGUAAAAAGUUUGAGUUAUAGCGUAUCUCUUAUUGCCUCAGUCGAUGAUUCUGUUUCCUGGUCAAGAUGAUUGUGAAUAUUUCAUGGCUGCAGAACAUCUAAUCAAAUGAAAACUUGUCAGUGCCCUUGCUGGUUUGAUUUAUUUGGAAAUAUGUUAUCCCCACCUCUGGCAUCCCCUUCCCUGUUUAUGAAUAUGUCCAAUUUAUUAUUAUUCCUAGAAUCAUGCAUGUGAUUUUCUUUAUUGAGGCUGACCUGUUUGCCUGUUGAAUUUGUUCAAGAACACAUGAGUUUGCUAGUUAAAAUUCAAGUUAUUUAAGUUUUUCUUGGCCAUUUUCUGAAGUAAACCAAUAUAACCAAUAAAAGGACUGAAACUGCUGAAGAUGUUCUAUACCAAGCUGGGGAAGUUGUAGAUCUCUCUUUAUGAUGAUCUUAAUACUUGUUCUAUAAAUAGUUGCCUUUUCAUGUUAUGGUUCUGUCUGUUAAAGUUGUAAGUUGAUGAUUUCGCUUGAGAUCCAGUAUCAGUACAACUGGUAUUUGGUAGCUAGGUUGGGGAUUGUAGCUAAUAGGUGAAUCUGGAAAAAAUUGUUGACCUUUUUCCUGUUUCCAGUUUGCCAGUUUUGACUGUUCCGCUUUAUAUUUUACACUGCUGCACAUUUGUUUGAAUUCAUCCAUAAAUUGUGUAUAGUGCUUUACAUGAUUCAAUUAUCUUUAAGGUUGGCAACCUGGCAUCCAAGGAGCAGUAGCUGAUUGGGAUGAAAACUGGGAUAAGUUUGAAGAUGAAGGUAAUUUUGAGUAGUCAUUUUUAGUACUUAGUUGAUAUUCACUUACAUUAGAAGUAUGUCUUCAUGGGGUACUCGUCUUUGAGACUCUAAAACAGACUAUCCAAUACACUUGAAGUAAUUUCCAAAUGAUGAGUCCUACUCAUUGGUUGGUUGUUUUUUUGACACUUCAGGGUUUUCAUUUGUCAAAGAGCUCACCCUGGAUGUGCAAAAUGUCAUAGCCCCACCUAAACCCAAGUCUUCUUUGAGAGAGAAAGAAACAUCAGUCAAUGUAAAUGGGGAUGAUAAAUCAUCUGCUGAUGCUGAUGGUAAGGCAGAGAAGGCACGGAGCACUAGCAAUCAGAGACCUGAGGAUGAUGGAGCGAAUGCCCAGGGUGAAGAGCACAGUGUGAGUAGUCCACCUGAGAGUCCAGCAAGAACUAAUGCACUUGAGAGCGAAUCUAAGGAGUUUGAAGAUUCUUAUUCUAAAAGGGAUAUCAGUUAUGAUGGUUCACCCCAUGCUACCCAGAGGUAAUGUGGUUCCCGCCCCUCUCCCCCAAAAAAAUGGAAAAACUCAAAUCUGUGGUAGCCCCCCUACUUAUUCUUUUUCUUCUUUCUGCUUUAAUGUUUGAUAAAUUGGGCAUGACCAAAUUAAAAAAUAUAUAUAUACCAAAAUUGAAAUUGUCGUUCAAUCGUCUCUCAUGAUGCACAUUUAGCCUGCUCUUUAUUGAUUUUGGUUACUUCCUUUUAGUUUUAUCUUGUAGUCUGUUUUGUGGGAGUAUCAACCUUCAAUAUCUCUUGCUAUUGCAGUGAACAUGGGGGUACUGAAUCUGUGUUCAUGGCGGACAAAGGUUUUGAUGAACCAGGCUGGGGUACGUUUGACACAUCAUAUGAUACUGAUGCUGCAUCAGAGUUCACUCAUGUAACUAAGGUAUCUGAUCGUUUACUUUAGUGUCUUUUAAUCAUGUUUCUAUUUUCGUUGAUUAAAAGGUUCAUAAUAGGCAUAUUCAGCUGGCGAGAUUGCUCUUAAGUUUUAUGAGGACUAAAAGAUCUAGUCAAUGUGCGUAGUUUCUUCAUUUGUAGUUUAUCUGACAUCUCUUCUUUCCCAAAAUCAAAUAUUUGGUAGUUUUAAUUUAUUGGUUGAACAUGAGAUAUUUCGGGGUGCCAAAAGCUGCAUUAUUUACCCGCUUUAAUAUUCUUACAGGAUGUACAUUCUGAGAGGCAAAGUGAUAAUUUAUUUGGUUCUGAUGACUGGGGCUUAAACCCAAUAAGAACUAGUACAGCUCGUGCGGAUAAUAUGUACCCGAAGCAAAGCCCUUUUUUUGAUUCCGUACCGAGCACCCCAAGUUACAAUGUGGGUGGCUCCCCUCUUGCAGACAGCAUGUUCCAAAAGAAAAGUCCGUUUGGCUUUGCUGACUCCGUUCCAAGCACACCAAUGUACAGUUCAGGUAAUUCCCCACAAAAAUUUGGUGAUGGGCCAGAAGAACGCUCUUUUAACAGUAGCUUCUCAAGAUUUGAUUCCUUCAAUAUGCAAGAUGGUGGACUGUUCACACCACGCGAACCAUUACCCUUUUCAAGAUUUGAUUCUAUGCACAGCACCAGAGACUCUGAAUAUGAUCAUGGCCUUUCCGCUUCACGUGAUUCCCUAGCAAGAUUUGACUCCUUCCGCAGCAUGGCAGAUUCUGAUUACAACUUUGGCCUCUUCCCACCUCGUGAGUCGGUUGCUAGGUUUGAUUCCAUGCGCAGCACCAGAGACUCUGAUUUUGGUCAGGGAUUUUCAUCUUUUGAUGAUGCUGAUCCUUUUGGGUCAAAUGAUCCUUUUAAGACUUCAUUGGAAAGUCAAACACCGAGGAGAGACUCUGAUGGUUGGAAUGAUCAUUUUAAGACAUCAUUUGAAAGUCAGACUCCGAGGAGAGAUUCAGACGGUUGGAAUGAUCCAUUUAAGACAUCGUUUGAUAGUCAAACACCGAGAAGAGAUUCUGAUAGCUGGAACGAUCCAUUCAAGACAUCAUUUGAUAGUCAAACCCCGAGGAGAGAUUCUGAUAGCUGGAACGAUGCAUUCAAGACAUCAUUUGAAGGCCAAACACCAAGGAGAGAUUCUGAUAGUUGGAAAGCUUUUUAGUACGGUGUUUUCAUAUUUUAUUUGAUGAGCUUUGUGUUUUCAGUAACUGUUAGCUUUUUCUCAUGGUUUUUGCCGGUGGAGGUUUUGGCAAGAUGCUUGUUUCGUUUGGUGCUGCUAGUCUAAGAGAAUCGAGUUGAACUCGAGAGAAGCCCUGGCCCUCUGUAAUUUUACCAAUUUGGUUCUUUUAUUGUUAAUUUUUUCUUAUCAAUUUUCCAAAUUGACGAAAACUUUAGUGGUGCUUAGGCAUAUUCAUUCCUUGGCUGUGUAAAAUGUGUACGAGCAUUAUGCUGUAUUUUUUAUUAUGUUGGUAUAGAUCAAUAUUUGCUUGAACUAUGGCUUAUCUUACCAACUGCUAGCACUUGUUUCUUGGACAAUUAUCGCAUAUUCCUGGCGGAUAUGUAUACUUCACAGUUAUAUUUCUUCUAUUUUAGCUGCUGUUAGGUGCGAUGUCGUGAAUGAAAGUACACCUUAUCUUUCCAUCAGCAGAAACCACAAUGACAAAUAACCGGAUCUGGCAACAGUUUUUGUAUGCCUGGUACUUUCCCAUGGUAUUCGCGACGUGUUUCACCAGUUGAAGUUUUCGUGUGCGAGGUAAUCUGACAGAUGCAAGUUUGUGUAAGGUUGAGUUCAGUCGACAUUAACAUAUCAGGCCUCCGGACUAAAAUGAAUGGUUUUUUAUGGAUGCUAAAAUUUGAAUUAAAAGAAAAGUUGAACACUUCAUCGCAACAAUGAUUUUUCCCCAUAUCUUCGCCCUGCACAUGCAAACACUAAUCCACACCAGAGACAGAGAAGCAGGACAAUCAAAACAAUGCUAGCACUACUCCACAUCAGAGACAAGAAUCUGCCAAGUCGUCACCAGAAGAGCCACCGAGUCAAGAGCCAAAGCGAGUCAAGAGCCAAAGCCAUAAACCCUCUGAACCACAAGCAGAUACUUCCACCACCUCGUAGAAUGGUUUGAUCACGGGUGGGAAAGCAAGAAAUAGAUAGGCAUAUACUCAACGGAACAAGGCUGCUCAAAUGUACCUGCACCCAAAGUUGGUUGUGCUUACAUCUUCUUAUCCACCGAACGCAAAAUAAACCAAAGCUUAAUGAUGUUAAAGCAGAAGCCCAAGCUUUUCCAUAGACAAACACAUUCGACCAACAAAAGGUUUCCAAAAUAGGCCAAUUUGUUAGAAAAUCAAAAGGUCUUCAGCAAUCACUGCCUCCCAAGCUCCACUAUUCUAUUACAUCAGCACAUAUCUCAUAAGGGCCAAACGGUGUAAGAAUUAAAUACAACCAAGUUUGGGUCGAAAACAGCUCCACAUGUAGGCUGAUGCAGGUACAAUAUAGCAAUUAUUAGCUAUAGAAAUCAUGUAGCUAAUGCAAGCAACCUUGAGAAUGGACAAUCAUUGCAUCAACAGCAAACCUGCCAACAGGAUCACUUACGACAAAGCCAAGGUCACCAAAAGAUGAGAUGCUGGGGACUCAACAAUGAAUUUAAGUCUUCUGUGACUAUUAACGAGGAACAUGAUGCAGUGGUAAGCAAGGAAGGUUGUGCUCAUUAGUGAAGGACAGGUGAUGGCAAAGGACUCCUGCUCCAGUCAUAACAAUGAAGACAUUGACAACGGUCUUGGUGUGGGAAGACAGGAGAUGGACACAAGUCAGAACUGAGAAGUGGACUAUCUUCCUCGGAACAUUGAGCCCAUCCGAGUAUGAGCUCUCUUCAUCUUUACCCAACUACAUUCAAUCAAUAGCAGUUUCGAGUGGAAAAGCCAAUUCCAAUAACAUGGCAAUUGCAGCUCAAAAUUGGAUUUAGUAAGUCCACCACUGUUUCUCCCACACAUUGAAACUCUGAGAAAGUGCAACAAAGAAGCCUAGAAAGAAACAACUCUUGCUUCUCAAAUAUUCAGCUUUUCAAAUACGUGAUUUGGUGAACUCCUCAGCCUUCAUAUUUCAAGAUUAAACAUGAUAGCCUGCAGAUUUGAAAAAUGAAUAAGAUGUUACAUUUUCAUUAUGCAGUCCAACUGAUUCUUUACAUUAAACAUGUUCCUGCCUUCUGACCAAACUGUUUUGUGACAUAGGCAUAAAACCAAAGCAUUCCACGAAUCAUAAUCAGGGAUAAUACCCUUCUCCAACAUUUGCAGAAACAAUACUAAAGCUGUUUGGAAAUCCUCUUUAGAACAACAUGUAUUAACCAUUAGGUUAUAACUUCCAGCGUCAGGCAAGCAUCCUCUUGCGAUCAUGUCUUCCAUGAGUUUUACUGCAUAUCCAACCUUACCUUGCCUGCAAAGUCCACUAAUCAGUGCAUUGACAGUUGAAACGAUAGGAGAAUAACCCCGACCAACCAUGUCAGCCAAUAAUUCUAAUGCUUCCUUUAUACGUUCUAGUUGGCAAAACACUUGAAUCAUCUUUGCAUAAACCAGAGCACUUGGAGCACCGCCUUCCUCAGUCAUCUGAUCAUAAAUUUUCUUAGCUUCAUCAGUACUGCCAUUCUCACAGAGUCUUAGAAUUUUAGAGCUCCUGCUUACAGCUCUUGGAAAUAACUUUUCCAUCUUCAUCAGAAACUCAAGUGCUUCAUCAAAUCGAUUCUCCUUACACAGGCCAUAUAUGAUGCUGUUGUAAGGACUAAUUUGACCACCAGAGCCCCAUUUACUGUCCUCCAUCAGUUCCAAAACCUUAAAGCCAUCUUCCAUCUUCUCGCCCGAACACAAACCAUGGAUUAGUGUAUCAAAUGUGACAAAGUUCCAAUCUAUGCCAACCCUUUUCAUCUCAUCAAACAUGUCAAGGCCUGAAUCCAACAUCCCAGAGUCGCAGAGACCAGAAAUCAAUGCAUUAUAUGUGUCUGCGUUGGGCAGAAAUCCUUUCAUCUCCAUCUCCUUCAUUAGAUGACGUCCAACCUUCACUUUGCCUAGUCUACAAAACCCUUUAAUCAGUGUGUUAUAGGCUACAAUAUCAAGGGUCCCUCCCAUCCCCUCGACUCUUUCUAAAAUCUCAACUGCAUCAAAAGCACGCCCUGCAUUGCAUAGAGUUUCCACCACUUUUGUCACUGUAACCACAUCAGGCACAAACCCACUACUAAAGCUCUUUUCCAAAACCACAAGAGCCUGCACUAAGUUUUCCUCCCGACAGUAGGCAGAUAUCAAAGUAUUAAAGGUGACAUCGUUAGGCAUUUCCAUGUCACUCAUCAAACUUCUAGCUCUCCCAACCUUACCAUUCUUACAAAGAGCAUGAAUCAAGGUAUUAUAUACUACAACAUUAGGCCUGAUGCCUCGGGUCUUCAUCACUUGCAAAAGCUUAAAACCAUCCACAAUCCUAUUAGUCAAGCAAAGCCCUUUCAUCAAAAUUCCAUAAGUAUAAUCAUCACCCUGUACCCCACUGCCCAUCAUUUUCUUCCUGUAAAACUGCCUAGCAAUAUCAAUAUCUUCCUUCACUAGAACAUCAAGUAUAGAAUUGUAUAGCUUCAAAGAUGGAGUCUUUUCAAACUUAGAAACCAACUCAAGUACUCUGAUCACAUCUCUAAUCAUCCGCGCACGGCCAAGUCCCCGGACUACUGUGAUGAAAAUGUCCUCAUCAGGUGGCGACCCAAUUGAACCAGGCAUUUCGUCGAGCAGUUGUUUGACAGUAUCGAAUCGUCGAAAAAUGCAGAGCUUGUGAAUUAAAGCUCUGUAGGUGGACUGACUGUGAGUAAACUUGGGAACUUUGGAUGCCCAUCUGAAGGUUUUUAUGGCUUCGUUAGCAGAUUUCUGUUCUAGAAUUAGAUGGGCUAUUUGCUGGUGGGUGGGAACAGGUGUGGUAGAAAUUGGCUUUGAUUGAAUGUAAAAGAAUACCCUUUUAUAGAUUGCUCUGUUGAAGGAGUUAAGACACAUUAGCGAUGUUGUGCAUGGAGCUGAGAUUACUGUGUCUGUUUUAUUCCUUCUGCAAGUAAUUCCGUCUAAAAUCUUUUUCAUAUUGUCCAGGAAGAAGAUUGAGCGAAGACACAGAAAGGAUCAUUGUAACAUUUGACAAUGAUUAUGUGCAAAUUCAAGUGAACGUAAGUUUCGUGCUUUUAGCUCAAGUAUCUCAAGAUUAGAGGCGGAGAAAAUUCAGACUAAGUAAUCACUCAACGUUUAAUUAUUUUGAUAGUAGCUGCAACACCUAAAUAUUUUUCUUCUCUAUAAUUAUUUUGUCUUAGGAAUUCGUAGUGCCUGUAGAGACACUUUUUUGCACAAGAUGUUUGGAAAAUUUAUAAUACAAGCCAGAUAAUUUUUGCACAAGAUUUGGUGUCAAAACAAUUAUGCCUCUUCAAACAACCAAUAGGAACACCAAUCUACACAAACAUGGAGAAUGCCUGAGAGACUUAUCAGACCUUGACCCACCUUUAUAUAACAUUACAAAAAUACUACUUCAAUGUUCAAGACCUGUUGUACAUUCAUAAACAUAUUUUCAAACGAAAAUGUACAUUGUACACACAAAUGUGUGCGCUUUGCGUUGUCAUGUACAAUUGAAGUAUUGAACUAGCAAAAUUUCUCUUUCUUGGGCCUCUGUUAUUUAAACAUGGUCCAACACAGAGAGCUUAAGUCCAUGAUUCUCCAAGAUACAUGGAGAAAGCUAGUCAGCAAUUACCGUUUGCUAGGAAGCCUGGGAUGCCGAGGCUAAUAUUGACAAGAGCUACAAUUACAAAAGCCAAAAAAAAAAAAACUCCCGCUGGAUGUUUGAAGAUGACUCUUAAAUGCCACAAUGGCACUAAAACCUCUCAGAUGCAGAGGCUCUUGUUUUCACGAACGUCGCAAAUUUCAGCCAGACUCAAACUGAGGGGCAGCAGUUGACAUUCAGAAAAACCCCACAAUAAUGGUUUUGAAUCCCUGUCCAAAAAUACUCUAGCAUUUGACGAUUGCUUUCUCAUACAUUGCUGCUGAGGACACCCUUUAAAAGAUCCAAACCUUCAGCUGAUAUGCUCCGCCUUCUUUGCGUUUUAGGAAUUUCAAUACGAGGGGGUGGAUCAGGAGAGAAGCACACCACAAGAACAGUUAGAUUAUCACAUGAAUUGCGCUUGAGUGCCUCCCUGACGAGCUCCUUAGAGCACCUCUCAGGAUCAUUGUGCAGCAUUAGCUCCUUCCUUGUGAUUGUGACAGCACAUUGGCUGCUCAUAACGUCCCAUAAGCCAUCACAUCCAAUUAUCAGAAACUCGUCUUCUUCCGUUAAGACCACCUCCUUCAACUCUGGCUCUGAGCUCAAGGGAAAACUUGAUCCUUUGGAACCUUUCAAGUGCCAAUCUCCUAGAGAACGUGAUACUGAUAGUUGGCCAUUUAGAUAACCAUCAUAAAUGACCCCACCUAGUUUCUCGAUUCUAAUUUUUUCAGAGGUGGAGUUGGGCUUGUGGUCUGUUGACAGUUCAACUGCUCUUCCUCGUUUUCCCAGCACUGCUCUCGAGUCCCCAGCAUUAGCAACCAGCAUUGUCCUGUCAAAGCAUUGAAUAAACCGCUAUGUUGAAAACUUCUUUAAGAUCCACUUCUAAGAUAAAUGAGUGAAUUAUUAGCAUAUAUGUCCUGCAUUCCUCUCAAAGUCCGACCAUGCAAAAAGCACAAGAAACAACUCGUGUCACAAUGGGUACUUAAUACACCACUCUAUGUACAAUUACAAAGAUUCACUACUACGAAAGCUAAACUGUCCACUUGCUGACUGAUUUCUUUAUCCAUCCUCUCUCCUCUUCUCCAAUUGUUCUAGUCAGUCUAUUCAUUCUUAAAGCCCACUAGUCGACUAGUCUAUGGAUUUCACAUCUAUUUUCAAAAGCAACAAUUACCGAAAAACCACUAGUUGUCACCAUUUUUAUCAAUUAAUUCAGCUUCAAUGCACAUAUAUUACAGUAUAGUGGCACUACUCAAAACUAGUUAGAUUUCUUACCGUCCUAACACUAGGGCAGUCAAAGCAGUGGUGCCAGAGGUUCUGUCAACAGUUUUAGCAUCUGCUAGCGCAUGAUCAGCUUUAACAAAAGCAUUCCGGAUAGCCCUUUUUACCACAGAUGGGAAAUAUGAAUCCUCAACAAUGAAGUUAAGGAUGUUCUUCUUGGUAAAUGCUGCAGCAUCGACUCCACAGUGCCCAUCAAAUACCUGGAAGUCAAGUAAUAACCAUCCAGCUUAACUUCAGUAAAGCAAUGUGGACAGUAAUAUCAGUAAGAAGUUUCAAUUGAGACUUACUGCAAGAAGAAUAUUAACUCCAAUAUUGAUUAAAAUGAGAACCCAUGCCCCAAAAAAAAAAAAAAAACAGAAAACAAACGAGAACCCAUAACAUCCAGAACUGGACUGGAUCAAAAUUAACAAAUACAUCUGCAGAUAGGACCACUAUAAGAUGGCAAAGGUAUCAGGUUAAACAUAACGAUGCUAGUGUUGUUUCAUCAGCCAGAACUCGUCAGCCUAAAACACCAAAGAAAUUGAUUUCUGCUGAAUCUUCCAGACAAAAUCAAUCAUAAAGGCUUUGAGACUUGUAUGAGACAAAUUAAAAGCUGAAUUGAGUAACACACCCCAUAAAAGGCUCCAGUAGGUGGGAUAUCCAAAGCCGCACGAACAUGUUGGUGUAGAUUAUCGACACAGAUAAACUCAUCCUCCAUAAACUCUUUUGGUCCCUUCUCAGAGCAGCUUCCUGAUCGAAAAACAGGUGAAAAUUCUGGAUUCUCACCUGAUAUUGUUACUCGACCAGUAAGUCCAUUGUGUAAUUCCUAGUUUUUAGAGCACAUCAAGGAAUUAGUGGAACUCGUAUUUCAGAAAACAAAUUACAGAAGAUACACGUAGUCCAAAAUUGGAAGAGAACUCGAAACAAGAAAUAUGUGAACAAAGAAGAUCCAUCGAUUGUUAGACACCUCCUCUGAGAUUCAAUUAAGUGCAUCUUGCAGUCCAGAUCAUUAUCCUCCUCACUAAAUCAGUUCAUUUAGCAAAAAUACAUGGUAAUUUGGAUUUCAAAUGAGUAAACCUCUGUACAAGUAUCACCUGCAUCUUUCAGAUUUAUAGUGUUAUAACAAAGUUCGUUCAAUUAACAGGCUACAGAACUCACGAGGAUUUCAUCACCAUAUGUCAUCAAGGGCUAAAAUCACAACACAUAGGGCCGCUAAAUUGUCUUGUCGUCAAAGAUCUAAACUUUGAACUAAGUGAAAUUUGUGAGUGUGUAAUUGUAACAAUUCACCCAAAUGCCUAGAAGAUCAUAUUUAGAAGGAGUAGGCAAGCAUAUGCCACCAGAAUCAGGAUAUCGGAAAUUCUAGAUAAAUCAGAGAAUCGCAUAAUACAAAGGCAAAUAUUAGGAACUAGUAUCACAUUAAGAUUGAGACCGGCUCACCAAAGCAGGGGUGCCCGCCAAGAUUGCUUGACUGAUAGAAUGCCUAAUAACAGGGAGAUUUCUUGGUGGUUUCCCUGCCUUUGCCAGGCUCUGAUCAUCCAAUUCCUCCUCCUUAUGACUUUCAUUUUCAGUUACAGAUGCAUUUUUCUCCCUGAACCCGUUAUCCAAUUCACCAUGACCUGUGCCUGGAGCCAUAUCUCCUCUAAAAAGUAACUAAUUCAGUCCAUACUUUUCUUGAUAACGUUGUACUGAAAAUAGUUAAUAAAACUCGACAUAGUAUUCACCAAAAAGCUACAAUAACACAUGGAUGGCUGUAUAAAUAAGUAUUUUUUGAUACUAACUCAAGUAUAUCACUCAGUUUAACGAGUAUAUCUUUUUCCCCAUAGAUUUUACUAUAGGCCAUAGAAGAUGCCCACAUGACAAGACUUAAACUUUCAUAGAUUUCUGAGUAGAAUACACAAAACCCAAUUGAAAAUUUAUAACAAUUCCCCAAAAAACAAAAAGUUUUUAGCAGAAAAACACAAUCUCUUCUUAUUGAUGACAAGGAAAAAUACCCAAAAAAAAAAAGAAAGAAAAAGAACUAGAAUUGAAAAACAACAGAGAUGAACAAGAGCAUGGAAGUGAAGAGAAGAUUGAAUGAGUAAUGGUAGAAGUACUAACAUUGGCAAGUGGAAAAGGGAGGGCGGUUUGUUCGGGAAUGGUAAUAAUCAAUGGGCUCCGAGGGAAAUGGCGACCCCAAGUUCGAGCUUUCACGACCGUUUUUGUAGGUGGUGGGAAAAUAAUAGAAAUUUGGUGGGAGAUCUAUUUAACCGACUUGUGGGUCGUCCCUUUAGUGCCAUGUGGCAGGCAGAUUAGUAAUUUGACCGCUUGGCUUUUUGUUUCUGAUCAGUGCAUUAAUAAUUGGAUUUACCAAUAAAAUGAAAAAAGCCAAGUGAGAACUUCUCAUUUUGUGUUUUGUCAACUCUUUCCAACAGUUGACAGUUAUAUAUAACCAUCAUAUAUUGAAGUUAUUGAAACAUGUCCUCAACAUGAUAUGAGAUUAACGAAUGAUUAUGGAUUCUUAAUUCAAUUUUCAAGUCAUUUUCUUUUUCAUUUGCCUUUUUUUUGCAAUUGUUGCGAGAGUAAAAUCAAAUAACAUCAUACGGGUAGUAGUGUAGUAAUUAUAGAUACAAAGAAUCAUAUGGUCAUAUUAAUUCAUCCCGUUAAAAAAUAUAGAAUAACUUUUUUUGGGUACAAUCCAAAAUUUUCACUCAUUGGACAUUAAUUUGUUUUUACGAAAAUUACUCAUGACAAGUGACAAAUAUAUGGGAGAAGGGAUGGAUUGAAUAGUACAGGAGGAGGAGGAGCGAACAUAAGUAGGAAAUCUUGGACUGAAAAGUGAUAAUAUACUAAUUUAUUCCUUUUGUUCUUGACAAUUUCACGGAGACAAGUGACUGAUAUACCAACAUUUCCCUUUCCCAGUCUUGCCAAUUUCACGGUGCUACAAUUGCAAACAACAGCUGUGAGUCAAAGUGAUUAAACUUAUGUAGCAAAUUUUAAAUUAUUAUUACCCUUCGGUUUUCUUCUCUUUUUUUUUUCCGACAAAUAUAAUAGUAGUUUCGUUUUUCACAAGUUAUGGAUAAUUAUAAAUUAUCCUAUCGCUUGUGUACUGAAAUCCUCUCCUCACAACCAUAAUUGAUGUAGCCUUUGCAAAUGUUAUAAUAAUAGGAGCGAUAUCAAAGAUUAAAGCAGCAUCAUUAGCUCAUUUUGUCCAUGUCUGAAUUAGUCACAAAAUGAGAGGCCGCCAGGUUGUCAAAAAAGCAAUGCCGACAGAUGCAUUUCUGCCUGAAUUGCACGUUGCAGAUUGGUAUGCAAGUGUUAAUCUAUGAACCAAUAAUGACAUAAAUGGAAUAAUCAGUUGUAAACCCUAUUUUUAAGUACCGAAAUUACUUAAAACAUACUAAUAAUAAUGCCUUGUCUGCAUACCCAAAAUAAAUCUUGAACAUGCAAAUUAGCUUAAUUGGGUAUUUAUGUUCCAGCUGCUAACAUUGCAAUCUUAACUAACUCGAUAAACCCUUGCAACAUGAGAAAGUGAAAUGACAAUAGCUUUGGUUUAAAAAAAGACCCUACCGUCAAUAAAAUCUGUGGUUGUGCAAGGGCCGAAUGCCAAUCAAGAAAGGGCAUGCUCAUUAUACUCUUUUUUUUUUUGUUAACAGUCGACAAUAGUUUACUUAACAUCUAUUCCUACUCUUACUCUAACUUAUUUUUAGAAGGGGAUCCAAUUUGGCCAACAGAGAAAUCGACGGAAACUGAAUCAACAUCGAAUCAAACAAAUGCACAACACACCUGUCUGAAAUUUUUAAAAAGCCGCUUAACGCGUCAAACCUUGCUUCCCACCCUCCAAGUCCAUUGGCCACCGGUGGUUGCAUGCUCAUUAUGCUUGAGAAUGCACUUUUCAGGUUAAAAAAAUCAGGGAUGUGUUUCACAUGGUAAAAUAAAAAAUUAAUUAAAAUUGUAUAGUGUACUGUAAGUGGUCCAAAUAACACAUUGAAUUUCUAUCCUAGGCCCCUGCGCAUGAAGAAAGAACCCCAUUUCCUGCUGCGGCCCCGAAAUUGUUCUGGUUUCACUGGAGCUGUCGUCUCUGGACCUGGGACAAUCUUUACUGGACCCUUGGGAAGUUUCACUUGUACAAAUGUCCAAUAUACGUUGUCGGACCAAUCUGGAGCUUGUUUUGUUUUGUUAAAGACUUGCAAGAACAGAUAAAAAAUUUUCAAGAGAAAAGGAUUGCCAAAAUAUCUUGAUAGCCAAAAGUAGAAGUCCAAGAACACCAUUUUCUAGCGAAUACUUGUUCAUGUGAACAGAGAGAUCUUCAUGAUUGGUUUAGAAUAGAAUAAAUUCCACUCUUGAAACGUGUAGUACUCUUAAAGAGUAUUUGGUUUAUUAAUACCAAACUGCGCAAAUGGAUCUUCUUUUUUUUUCUUUGGGUCAAAAGCGCAAAUGGAUCUUGAGCCUCAAAGCUUUUAUAGAUUCUAUAUGUUGCUACAUAAAUAAGUUAUCCUAUAAUAAUAUCCAUCACUUGACAAGUAUAUUACAUUCACUUUUAUGUGUAAAUUUACGGCCGAAAAACAUGGCAUGUUAUCUUAUUUAUAUCAAUCUCCAUCAAACCUCCAUUAUCUUCCAAAAACUUGUUUAAGGUACUAAAAAAGAUGUGGUUGCACAUAAUCAAAUGACAGCCAACGGACCCCUUAUGGAGGACUUUUCUCUUGCUGUCCAACUAGCAUUAUACUCCUAGUCGUAGACUAGAUUGGCAAAAUCUUGGUUGCAAGUCAUCCACAUUUUUCUUGUGCAUCCAGAGUCCACUCAUCUCCGCACAAUUUUGUGUCACUGUUCUGUGGUUGCACCCACAUUUCUUUGUUCGUGUGUUUAGUUGUCCACUACCAAACACGCCUGCGUCUACACGGACAGCAAACGCAUGCGCCAUCCCGGAGCCACCAGCAACAGUGACAAUUAUCCCAGACCGGUACCAGUGAAAAAAGUGGGGUUUCAUGAGCCGUAGAUGAAUUGUUAUGGUGACAUAUCUCUAGAAGUCUUUUAAAGGCAAACCCGUACAACCAUCAUAAUGGAGUAGCUCUUUUUGACAUAGAAUUGUUUUGGUUGUCCAGUUGGUGGAAGUGGGAAAAAAAGUGUGAAAAGUGGAAUCCCAGCUUCUUCCAGUGCUACUUUUUGUUUCUGUCCAUUUGUCAUGGAGCUUUCACGGGUCGAAGUGGAGGAAGAGUAACGCCCCAAUAUGUAAGCUUCUUUUCUGUGACCCUUGUUGAUGCAUUAGAUGUUCAAUCUUCUAAAGUUGGAUUUUGCAUGCUAUUUUUUUUUAUCUGAAACCUCUUUAAUGCUCCAGGUUCUACCAGCCUUAUGUCCCUUUUUUAUAUUGCUUCCUGGUCUUUGUGUUUUUAUUGCUUUAAUAAGGAAUGCAUAAUGGGUCUCGCAGGAACGUUCUCAUUAGAAUGGAACCCAAAAUGAGUUUUUAUGUCUAUGAAUUUGCUUCAUGAUUAGAUAAAAUUACGGCCUUUACUUAGAAUAGGCUCAUAUUUCUUCUUUUUCAUGGCAUUCUUCCUUGCGAAUUUUCAUACUGUCAUGGAAGUUAGUUUUACUUGAUUUUCUUGUAAAUUCUUGAUUAUCAGUGGAAAACCAUUUUUAAAGUUAAACCCAGAGUUUUAUUAACUCUUUUGCAUCUUAUUUCGUUAUCCAUGCAUAACAAGGCGAGUUAGUUGCACCUAAAAUUUUAGUUCUUUUGUAUCUUACUUUAUUUUUUGUGCAUAACAGGGAGAGUUCAGCAGUUAUGACUACGUCCAUAGGCAUGAAACUUUUCAUGGUAAUGGUGUUAAUGCUUUCUGGCAACGGACAAUUUUCAAAAGGGUUUAAUACAAAUGUGUCGGGAAGACCUGAUGUUUUGAACAUUGGGUCUAUCCUAACAUUGAAUUCUGUUAUUGGCAAAGUUGCAAAAGUUGCUAUAGAUGCUGCAGUAGAAGAUGUGAACUCCAGUCCAGCAGUUCUUCGAGGAACCAAGCUGAAUAUUACAACUCUUGACAGCAACUAUAGUGGAUUUUUGGGGAUAGUCGAGGGUAAACACAUUGCUCUUCUAUGUUGCCCUUUUAUACCUAAUAAAUAUCAAUUCCAUGUUGAGAAUGAGUUCUUCUGCAGUCAAUUAUUUGUCUUCUGGUCUUAAGCUAGUUAGAAUCUAGUAAAUCUCUAUUUCACGAAUUAUUGCAGCUAUUCGCUUCAUGGAGACUCAAACAAUGGCCAUCAUUGGCCCCCAAUCUUCAGUUAUAGCUCAUGUGAUAUCCCACAUUGCAAAUGAGCUCCAAGUUCCUAUGUUGUCUUAUGCUGCAACGGACCCUACCCUUUCUUCACUUGAGUAUCCGUUCUUUGUUAGGACCUCACCAAAUGAUCUGUUCCAGAUGGCUGCAAUAGCAGAACUAGUUGAAUAUUAUGGAUGGAGAGAGGUAAUAGCAAUCUAUAUUGAUGAUGAUUUUGGAAGGAAUGGAAUAAUUGCAUUAGCAGAUCAACUGGCAGCAAGACGUUGUCGGAUCUCUUACAAAGCACCUUUGACCGCUGAUGCCACCAUCUCAGACAUCAGGGAUGUGCUGGUGCAGGCAGCCUUAACAGAGUCUCGCAUUCUUGUUGUACACACUUAUCCUAACAGUGGUUUAGAGGUAUUUUCGGUGGCGCAAUCUCUAGGGAUGAUGGACUCUGGAUUUGUGUGGUUUGCUACAACUUGGCUGACAACCAUAUUGGAUAUCAAAAACCACUUUGCUUCAGAGGCAUUUAACAACAUACAAGGGGUUAUCACGCUGCGUAUACACACACCAGAAUCACAAAAGAAAAGGGACUUCAUCUCUAGGUGGACCAACUUGACAAAAAAAGUGUCAGCUCGUAGUCCUAUAGGGAUGAAUACUUAUGCUCUCUAUGCCUAUGAUACAGUUUGGCUGCUUGCUCAUGCCAUUGAUGCUUUUUUUGAGAAGGGUGGAAACCUAUCAUUCUCCUAUUAUUCAAGGUUGGGUGAAAUGAGUGGAGGGAGCCUGCAUCUAAAUUCCAUGAGUAUAUUUAACGGAGGCAGAUUACUGCUUGACAGAUUAUUACAAAUCAAUAUGACUGGGGUAACGGGAAUGUAUGGUUUCACUUCAGAUAGGAACCUCAUUCGCCCAGCCUGUGAAGUCAUUAAUGUGAUUGGAACAGGAUUGAGGAGAAUAGGUUUUUGGUCUAAUUAUUCUGGAUUGUCAAUUGCUCCUCCGGAAACACUUUAUACAAAACCGCCAAACCGUUCUAGUUCAAAUCAACAACUGUAUAAUGUGGUGUGGCCUGGACAAACAACUCAGCAACCUCGUGGCUGGGUUUUUCCUCACAAUGGAAGGGAAAUGAAGAUUGGAGUCCCAAACCGAGCAAGUUUUCGUGAAUUUGUUCAAGAGGUACCUGGCACUGAUACGUUCAAAGGAUACUGCAUUGAUGUUUUUACUGCUGCCCUUAACUUGCUGCCAUAUGGUGUCCCUUAUAAACUAGUGGCAUAUGGGGAUGGUCGUACUAACCCAAGUGGCACAGAACUUGUGAGGUUGAUCACUGCUGGGGUCAGUACAAAGUUUAAAAGUUUCCACAUUUAAUUACAAUACGCUUUGACUCUCUAAAAUUCUAUGUUCUCUCUUCUUCGUCACAGGUUUAUGAUGCUGCUGUUGGCGAUAUUGCAAUAACCACCAACCGUACGAGGAUGGUGGAUUUUACUCAGCCAUAUAUUGAGUCUGGUUUAGUGGUGGUCGCACCAGUAAGGAAGUUGAAUUCUAAUGCUUGGGCCUUCCUGAGGCCAUUUACUCCUCAAAUGUGGGCUGUUACUGCAAUAUUUUUUCUCGUUGUGGGAGCUGUUGUUUGGAUUUUGGAGCAUAGGAUGAAUGAUGAAUUUCGUGGACCUCCCAGAAAGCAAGUUGUGACUAUCCUAUGGUGUGUACUGCUGGAUAGUUUUGCAUUUCUUAAUAGUAUAAUCUGAAAGACUUGUCAACCCACGUUGGUUCUCUUUUAUUUGAGUAGUUCCCUAGUUCAUUUUCAGAGGGGCAAAGGAAAGCUAUUCACUAGGUGUAGAAGAUCAGUUAAUUACCUUUUUUGAAUUGAAAGGAAACUCCAUUCCUCUAAAGUAGCCACUGAUUCAAUCUAUUUACUUCUUCUAUGAUAAGGUCUAGUUGCCAAGCUUCCAGCUCUGGUGUAAAAUUUUUUUUCCCUGAUUGUUCUUUUCUUUGCAGGUUCAGCCUUUCAACUCUAUUUUUUUCCCAUAGUAAGUGCUCUGGCUCUGCUUUGGUAGUCUGGUGUAUUUGGCAGCCAAGAAAAAUAACUAAUAAUCUAAUUUUUCUGGCAUCUGCAGGAGAAAAUACUGUGAGCACCCUUGGUCGCGUUGUUCUUGUUUUCUGGCUGUUUGUGGUCCUUAUAAUCAACUCUAGUUACACUGCUAGCCUUACGUCUAUCCUUACAGUUCAGCAACUUUUUUCACCAAUUAAGGGAAUUGAAAGUUUAAUAAGUAGCGAAGAUCGCAUUGGCUACCAACUGGGCUCUUUUUCCCGUGAUUAUCUCAUUGAGGAGGUCGGCAUACAUGAGUCCAGACUUGUCCCUCUUAAUAUGCCGGAAGACUAUGUAAAAGCCUUGAAAGAUGGCCCCAGGAAUGGUGGAGUCGCUGCUGUGAUCGAUGAGCGUGCCUAUAUAGAACUCUUUCUCUCAACUCAAUGCGAAUUUAGCAUUGUUGGUCAAGAGUUCACCAAAAAUGGAUGGGGAUUUGUAAGUAUAUCUGUGAACAACACUUUUUCUUCUACUUUUGCUCCAUAGGAACAGCAAUUUCAAUCAAUUAAUCGGUAAAAAGCAUUGGGCGUCCAUUACUGCUGUUUUUUUUUCAGUACAUAUCCAUUUUCUGAUAUAUUAGCUGUGAGCUCAAUGGACUGAGAAAUUGUCACUGUGGAAUUGCACCUUGUCACCCAUUAUUUGAUCCUUACCUGCGUGCUAAUUUAUAAACUUCUAGGGUACUGCUUUCUGUCUGUUUUUGCUGCAUGCAAUCGUAUUAUUCUAACAUUAUCCAUCAUAUAGAAAGAAUGACUGCAUUCAAAAAAAAUUUCAAGUCUUUUUGACUUCUUAAAUUUGGCAUGGAAGGAUAUGACUGUUACAUAUUUGUAUAAUCAGUCAUUUACCAAGAUGUCAAGUGAGAUAACAUCUAUUGUCAACAGGGUGAAUAGCAACCAAAUAUUGCAGAUUAUUUUCUUGAGAUGGCUAAGAAUGGUACUAACUACCAAUUUUUCUGCUUCUGGCAAGGCCUUCCCAAGGGACUCUCCUCUGGCUCUUGACAUGUCCACGGCAAUUCUGAAGUUGUCAGAGAGCGGUGAACUCCAGCAGAUCCAUGACAAAUGGCUGCAGAGAAGUGCCUGCAGUUCACAAAGUACAAAGCUUGUCGUGGACAGACUUCAACUGGGAAGCUUUUCAGGCCUCUUUUUUAUUUGUGGAUUAGCAUGCCUACUUGCUCUGCUUGUAUAUUUCAUACUCAUAGUACGCCAGUUCUUGCGUUACCACUCUGAGCCUGAGUCAGAAUCAUCGGGUCAAAGCUCGCGCUCAGCACGAAUCCAGACAUUCCUUUCGUUUGUUGAUGAGAAGGAAGAAUCAGUUAGAGCCCGAUCCAAGCGAAGGCAUCUGGAGGGGGUCUCGAAUUUAAGUAACUAUGAAAACACAGCUGAAAAUGGUUCUUCUAAGAGAUACCGUACAGAAAUGUUGUCAAAUAGAAGCGUCAGCUUUGGCGAUUUAGACUAAAAGUGUGUGGGUAUUUUGUGUAUUCUUGCCUUGCUUUCUGUCACAGUGUCACCCCAUGAUGCUUGCUCCUUUGCUAGUUUAAACUGUAAUUAUGUGUACCUUGGUGCGGUGUUUUAGAAAUCGAAUUCUGGAAGAAUGUGUCAUCUGGAGCUCAGGUAACAGCUUUAACAUAAUGAAAAGAAUAGAACAGGAUUGUUUUUUCCAUCGUCCCGUAAAUGAUGAAAGGUUUCUAAUCAUUGCUGGCAGCUAUGCAGCCAUUUCAUAUUUCAAGUCUCUUAACUUUGACAACAAUAACUACCCUCUGGCAAUAUAAAAUUAUACGACCAAAUUAAAGCCAGAAGCUAAAUCAGAAGGCAAAUUGAGCACAUUCACUAAAAUCGAUUUACAGGGUUGUCCUGACAUUAUCUAUUGAUUACCAGAGUAACAUACAGGUAAAUCAAACUCCAUUUGCCCAAAACACACAAGCAUCUCUUCUCCCGCAUAAACAAAUUAUUAUAAGGGUAAGAAGACAAAACUGAGAAAAGGGUUCCUUGUUGAACACCUAAUGAUUAGGGAGAGCUAAAAUACAAGUUUAAAGAAAAAUCAGUCAAGGAAAAAAAAAAAAGAGAGAAAGCAAAUGAAAUUAGGUCAACAUCAUUAAUUAUAUAACCUGAUAGUAGUAAUAUUUACAUAGUUAUCGUGUAUAUAUUUCGUUUAAUCAUAUUUACACGCAUCAUAUUACAGCAGAGUGUUAAAAAACUAGACCAUAACUGGGUUAUUGUCUGUCACAAAUUACUGCAUACUGCAUUUGAAGUACUUGAUAAAACAUUCUUCUUCUUUGCAAUACAUGCUCAUCACUCUGUAUACUUCAAUCAAUAGUUUAGGAAAUCGACUAGCAAAAUACUCGUCAUAACCUUCUGGUACUGACCCCAAAAUCUCCUGCAAAGAACAUCAAGGUUAUUAUCAAAUUCACCAUAAAGAGAAAAUGCAAGUCAGAACAAGGAAAAAAUAACACUUCAGGUGUCAAUUAACUUAAAGCAAAAACAUCUUUGGCAUGUUAUAUGUAUAAAUUUCACUUUGUAUGUUUAACUAGCUCCAUCAAUGACUACCACAUAGAUGCAGAUUUAGAUCACUCUUCAACGGAUGAUUUUUGGGUGUUUUUUAAAUUUAAAAUUUUAUUGGGGUACUAGAGGAACCACACAGGUCAGCUAAAACAUUUGUAAUUGCAUCAUUAUUCUCGAAAGUAGUAUUUGCACAAUGCAUUAUCAUCUUUGUGUGCAAUCAUCCGGGUGAAUACAAUCAAACAUUGUAUCUGCCAAGGAUGCGAACAAGAUAUUGUUAUAAUAGCCACCCAAUCAUAGAUGCAAUAUCCAAAUAAUGAUGUACAGGAUGACAUCUGUACUACUAGGAAACUUUGCAUACUCAUGGGAUAUGCAAUGUUGUACCUCCUAUCUUACACAUUUUAAACAAAGUCCAGCUCAUCAGUCUACCUACUUUAAAUUCUGUGAUCAAAUAACACUUUUUUACCAAAGGUGCUGAUGGUAGAAAAGAACUUCCAGCAGAAUAUAAUUAAUAAAAAUUAACUAAAAAAUUCCUAGCAAAGUUAAAAUGUAAAAGCACCUGAAUUUCCAUGGGGAGCUCUCUAUAAUGAUUCAACUUGUUACGCAUGACCCGCAGUAAGUCACGAACACUGUCAUACUUAUACCGCCUGUAGCAGCCAAUAUUAUAUAAGAAUGCAGGUUCCAAUUUUUCAUCCCAUUUUCCACCCAGAGCUAUUGGUGCAGUAGCUUCUAUUGCUUUUAAUAGCUCAGAAUCGGUUUCCCUAUCUUCCAGUUCUACCCUAUCACUUGUAUCACGAAGAAAUGACAAUCGCAGGUCAGCACUCCAAAACAAUGGAUGUGCUAGAACCUCUACUGCUUUUGGUCUGAAUACAAGAAGAAAACAAGAGAGAAAGAAAUAAUUCAGCAACCGAAAUGUUAGGAUAGUAUCUAAAAAAAGUUCCAAAAAUUGGAUAAAAUAGAUUUCCUACAAAUCGCAGAGUCAGUGGCCAACUCAACCAAAAUCACUGAAUCACUAUGUAAAUAAAUUGUCUUUUUUCCAGCUGUCUUGCCCUACAAUGCCUCUAUUCCAUACUUAGAAUACUUCAAAAUAAUUGUUCAUGAGUUUGAAACAAAGCAUAGAUUUCCAAUUUGAUUAGAAAGCAAGUUUUCCUACAAUUCUAUAGACUAUCAUAGACAACUGGUUAAACAUAAUCCUAAGCAUGAAUCUAGGACCAAUCCUUAACAACUGGAAAGGUUGACCGGACUCAAUUACCAGCUUGCAAGGUUACAUUUCCUCAAGUGGAACAAGCUCCAGUGAAGAACAAUAUAAACUUUAUUUCCUCUUCCAGUUUUCAUUUCCAUAAAAUCAAUUUAUAUCCUUUCAUAUCUUAAAUCAACAAUAUAUUUUAAAACUAGGAAGAAUGAUAUUGUUUCAUUUUACUUAGACAUCCUUCCUGUGAGGACCCACUCCAGUUGGCAAACUAAACUUCAUUCUACCGAGGAAAAAACAAUUCAGUAAGGCCUUGCAGCAGCAAUGUCCCUUACCUCAUUUCUGCGUUAGGAUUUAACAGAUGGGAGAAUAAAUCCAUUGCUUCAGGAAUAUGUUCGACCAAGAAUAGGUCAACUUGGUUCUUUGUGAUGUUGACAUCACGUUCAAGACGAUUUCCAAAUGGAUGUCUACCACCGGUGAUGCAGAAAAAUAGAACACAACCUAGACUAAAUAAAUCAACUGCUCUUGUUUGACGUCCAAGAAGAAGUUGUUCGGGUGCUUGCCAUCCUGAACUUCCACAACCUGUAACAAGAUAUUAAUUACAUGAGCAAAUAAAUGCACAGAUAAUAUACUUGAAGCAAUGAAAUUUAAGGAUAGCCACAUUAAUUCACAAUGACAGCCUUGUUGUGAAUCACUUACACCAAAGAAAAAUCUAAAGAACCAACAUCACAUGCUGAUCUAUAGAGCCUCAAUCCACAAGUUGUCCAGAAUAAGAUUAGCAGUCAAGAUAACCGGUCGAAGGUGUGAUUGCAUGCAAAUUUACAUCAUAAUAGGUAAGGUGCAACUACUUGCCUGUAGCAUGCUGACCCAAGGAAGCCAUAUCCCCAGUGAGACGUUUGCUAAUACCCAUAUCUGAGAGCUUUGCGCAUAAAGAUCUAUCCUUGAUUAUCAAAACAUUUUGGGGCUUCAAAUCUCUAUGAAUGAUUCCUAAUUCAUGUAGAUGUACAAGUCCAGAAACCACAUCCCUGUCUUCCGGAUUAUUUUAGAAAAAGAGCAAAAAAAAAAAAGAAACAAAAAUAUAUGAAAAUAAAGAAAAAUAUAAACUAAAGCUCCAAAAAGUUGCCAGUAAGAAAAGAUACACAUAGAAGUGCAUUGACAUAUUAUAUAACACCUAAGAAGAGUCAAAUAAUUAAAGAUGUCAAUUGCCGAGCCUUUUUCAACUACAAAAGCCUUAUUCUCUUUCUCUUGAAAAGAAAGCAAAAAGACGAGAGAAAACUCAUCACAGAGCAUAUUUGAACUGUUUUCUGUACACAUCACUUGUGCCAUUAGCUCGUUAAAACUGAUUCAAUAGAAAUGGAAGACUGCUGUAUUGACUAUAAAUGGCAUGCACAUCAAAAAUGAAAGUGGAAAAUGGUCAAAGUUGUGGAAUUGACUCAUCAAGUAUAGUCCAAACAGUUGGCACAAUUAUGUGGAUUCCUACUUCCUAGCAUGAGAUUGUAGUAGUUGCAGACUAAAUUCCUUAAGUAUCUUUUAAACAUUUUUACUGACCUCAAUAAUUUUAGCAAAAUAGGAGAAGGGUAGCCAUUUGACUUCCACAACUUGGGAUCCUGUAUAACAACCUUCACAGAGUCCAAAUGGAUUCUGUACUUAGCCAUAUCCUCGACAUCCAAGUUCUUGCUAAAAGCAAGAUUUUCGGAAAUGUCUGAGAACAUGUGAAUAAGAUCAUCCAAGCUGCAAAUACAACGCUCCAGUGCUAGAUACACAAAAUCUUGGUCUUGUUCCACUCCGUACCACCGCACUAUGUUUGGAUGCCUAUCUGAUGCAAUAAGAUUCUGAAUCUCUUUAAAGGCAAUAUCAUGAUGAGCCCUGACAAGGCGUUUCACAGCAACUGGACGACCUUCAUAAAUGCCCUCAAGGACAACAGUACCAUUGCUCCCUUUUGCAAUCUCUUUAGUGGUCACAAAUAAUUUGCCAAUUCUACGUCCCUCUAUAUUAAAAGUUGGCUGAGAGAGGUUCAACCACAUAUUCUUAUCAUCAUCAUCAUGCAUAUUCGCACUAUCUCCAUUCGGAUGCGUGUCUAUGUCCUUUUUCUCUGCACUGCUACCACUCUUUCCAGAUUUUCUACUCUUCUUCCUCUUUGAGGGUACAGUUCCUGAACUUGUGUUGCUGGGAUUGUCAACCAACAUGAAUUUUCUUGCAACUAGAUGAUAAAUCACAAUUCCAACAGUAACAGCAAAAGGAAAUGAAGAAAUUGCACCAAUCCUUUCUAAGACCACACUUAAUCGACCACCAGGAGAAAUUUUUAGUUCUUGCACAUUCGGCAUCUCACCAUCUUCUGUCGCUGAAGGCAAAGAAAGUACAAAUUCUUCACCACUGAUGUCAUGAGAAUCUAAAGAUUUGCCAACAUUUUGUUGUGAUGGAAGAAACUCUAGAACUUUGUCAACAUUUGGUUGUGAAGGUAGCAUAGGUUUUGGUAUUGAUGUUGGGAGCAUUAUUUCUGGAGAAUGAGCCUCAGGAAGCCCACCAUGUCUAAGGAAGGGUUCCAACAUGUCAUGAUUGCGGAAGCGGUAUACAAGAGCCAUAGAUUGACAUGGCAAUGGCAUGUUAAACCCGGGUUCAGAAAAUCCUGAAUUCAGGAUAGCUCUGCCAAAUGACCUCUCCAUUUCUUCACAAAGAAAAGCAGCACCGAUUUCAGCCACUGUCAUAUUCCACAGAACUUUGUUUGAGUUUGGAGCAAAAGAUGUCAAUGCAUAAUCUGUUCUAGUGAUGUAAAGGGGGAGCUCAUCAGCCUUAAGGUCUGUAGAUUGAGAAAGUCCAAGUCCUUCAACAGUGCUAUUAUGAAUAACGGUAUUCUCACUGUUGUUCUGCUUUGGGCAUGAAGACUCAGGAGUCCUAUACGUGUAGAUUAGCCUUCCAGUCUUGGCAUCAACAAGAAAUGCGGUGGUUUUUUUGGAACCAAGUACAAUACCACCAUCCUCAGCUAUCUGAGGUGUUGAACUGAUGUACUCCUCAAGAGUCUUUGUGAGUUUCUGGAAAGCACAAGUCAAGACUUAUAAAACAACUACAAUAAAGGUAGAUGAUUAUAGAGAAAUACAUAGAAAAAAUGAGCAGAUGUAAUACCAGAGGAUUGGUAUCAACACUACUUCCGAAGGACAGCAUUGAGCAAUGACCGACACACUAGGACUAAGGAAUUAAGUGUUCUCAUGGAGAGAACCAAGCCUAUACUAAGAACCAGAUGCCACUCACAUGGAUACCUCAGAGUCAGACAGUAUGAGAGCAGAAUCACUCAGACAGCUCUACAGAGGCGACCAGUUUGGCAAACACUCACAAACGUGAUUUUAGAGAAAUUAAUCUUUGAGAAUAGAUUGGAAACCUUACAAAUAGGAAGUACCUGUGAACCACUAUAAACAAAAUCUUAAGGCAUCAAAUUUGUGUAUACAGUAGUGUAGUGUAAAGAAUGUUUUUGACCCAAACUAUUAAACUAUGUAUUCUGAACACAAGAGGCAUGUACGAAAUCAAUCACAUUGGCAGACAAAACAUGUGAUGAGACUAUCUUAGCGGAUGCCUGAGGCAUACUAGCCAAACAAACUGCUUACAGACCCUGUCAUCAAAUGUUAUAUAGGCUCUAAGAAAUGCUAACUCCUCGACAGUAAGAUUUAGAGAUAUAUCAUUCAAAAUCUGCGACCUCCACAUGCGCUCACCAUAUUUAGUAUUCACACAAAAGCAGUAAUUUAAAGCAGAGUGAUACUUCAUUUUAGAGAAAGUGCUAUAAUUGAAUGUACACAGAAUAUCAGACUCGACAUCAUAUCCAUCAAAGUCUUCGAAACAAAAUCUUAGAAAUGUGAUAGUAACAGCAUACCAGUUUUCCAAGCCUGUUAUGAGCAUAUAAUUCCCAGUCAUCCCCCAAAUCAAUGUAGUAAUCGCUUCCUAAUCCAGAUGUAUUUUCUUUAUCCUCAUCCACUGGAGCUUGAUAUGAUGAAUAAAUUUCAGAUCCUGAUUCAAAUGACCAGAGUGGUUUCAUAGAAUCAAGCUCCAACAGAAAAAUUGUCCCAUCCAGAGCAGCGACUAGUGCAGUAUCAGCUUCCCUGAUUUAAUCAAAGAUGAAAUCCACAUGAAUUCUAUGGUUCACAGUGAGAGAAGACUUUCAUUCAAUCAGCACAGCACAAAAUCAGAUUUUGCACAUAAACCUUCUCCAUAUUCUCCAGAAUGUAAAGAAUAUCUUCUCAUCAGCCUUAACCCAAUCAACUAAGGCAAUAGUACGCAACUAACAAAGAAUCAGAAGGGGUAUAAGCAAUUAUGCAAUGCAUUCUGAAAAGACACGUUCUUGCAGUAAACUUAGCUCAAUUAAAAGAGAGGGGGGGGGGAUCCAAAAUUUUUAAUCUUUAAUCAUCAGGUUCUUUCAGCUGAAAUUCAAGCGUUAUACUUUUAACUUUCUGGCAGAAAAUAUAACUGUCCUGCCACCAAUUCAAGUCCACUCUUUUUUUUUUAAAUGGGAGCAUGCUCUAAUUUCAUUUACCCUUGCCAAAAACAUAACAGUAAAUAAAAGAUGGAACUUGUCAACGCCUACAUGUACAAGCUAAUCCCAACAAAAAUACUCCUUUAAGCUUGUUUAAAAAUGUCGAAUCAGCUACUUAAAUUUUGACAGUCAAUUUCACAAAAAAAAAACAACAUAAUUCUACGCUCACAUAAAUAAGGAAAAACAAAUACGGAAAUAAUAAAAACUUAGCAGAAAAACUGACUUGGAAUCAGACAAUAGAGACCGUUUGCCCGGGGUCCGGGGUGGAUUUAACCCAUUCAAAUGUUUUCUCCCAGUUAUGCUUUUGUACGCGUCCAAAGAAUCGGCAGCGAACCCAGAAAAAAUGAAAAUCGAUGCUAAAAAACAAAUCAGAAGAAGCACUGAAGAGAACUUCAUCGGCGAUGUCAAAACUUGAAAGAGAACAAAUCGGGUCAAAAUAUCGUCGGGGCAAGAGCUUCACAUAAUUUAUGAGGAAUAAUCAAGGAGGUAGAUUAAGGAGGAGGAAAUCUACGGGAAGGAAAAUGCUAUGCGGAAGAAAACGGAUAUUCCAAGCUUCCGAGAAUAGCAUUAAACGCGAUGGAUUUCUCGGAGUCCGACGUCGAGGAGGUGGUGGUAGCGGUGGAAUUCAGACUCUUCAGUGGUUCUCUUGCCCAGCCUGCCUAGUCGUUCCUUAAGAAUUAUAAGACUGACGUAGUCAAACUUCGAUCGUGGGUUGUCGUCGAUUAGUAGGACUUGAAUCGUUUUGAUUGGUUGCAUUCAAAUCACGCAUAUGAACUUUCAAGUGGAUAAUAUUUUCCUUUUUUCACUUUUCUUUUAUUGCGGGACAAUUUGCUGAAAAAUACCCUUCACGUUUUCAAGUCUGUUAAACCUUACUGAAUUAUUUCAACAAAGAAAAAAAUAGAACUAUAUAUAAAGUUCUUCCUCCGGAUAAUAAAAAGUUGGUUUUUUUGAAGUAAUUAAAAAGUGAAUUUGAUUCAAUUUGGUGUUUCUGGUGAAAGUAUUAACCAAGCUGCGUCCAUAUGUACCCCCCAAAAAAAAAAAGAACCUACGUCCAUAUGUGUAAAGCUUUAGUAAGGUUUUGUAUUCUCACCUCUGUUGUCAACUAAUAUUUCUUUUUUCACAAUUGCAUCCUUCCUUCUUUUUUCUUUUGUUAACUCACUUCACAUGUCACGAAACGAGGUGCAAUCUUUAAGUGAGGUGAUAAGAUUCCCAAUGUUGAGGGUUAUAUAUUUCUUACACUACAAAAAACAAAAUAAUGCACAAGAUACUAGAGGUGUGUUGGCAAGCCAAACUACUCCGGGAGUGAUCAAACGCUAUGCUCGAACUCGAUUUGAUCGAGUUUUAAUUUGAGUUCGAGUUACUCCGUGCGUAUAAUGAAUCGCAUCUCAAUAUCAGCGUUUGGCACUCAAGUGCUCAAUAAGUCUAAUUUAGCUAUAUUAUUUAUAUAAUAUGUGUAUAUAUGAAUCGUGAAAUGACUAUCAUGGAUUCAUGUUUUAGUAAAAAUCUCGAGUCAAACUCCAAUUUAAUUACGACUAUCUCAAGUUGAGCUUGACUUUAAUAUUAAGUACUUGUUCGAGCUCAAACUCAAGAUCGAGCAGCAUCGAUAUUGAUCGAAGCUAAACUUGAGUAUAGUGCUACUUGAUCUCAACUUGACUUGAUACUGCCCCUAUGCGACACCAGAUAUGCAAUAUUUGUGUUUAAUCAUGUCAAGUAUAAUUGCACUAAUGCUCAUCAUCAAUUGUGAAUGAUUUAGUGAAGGGUUGGUUUGAGUGUUAACAUUAAAGGAUUAUAAAUAAGGGGUUUCAAAUUCAAAAUCUUCUAUUUACAAAAAAAUUUGUGAAUGAUUAGUUUUAUAUGCAACAAAACAUUUUCUUGGUUAAAAAAAAUUUAGAUUUCGACUUUGAUCACCACGAUUGAUCAAAGGCAUGACUCGUAUUAUAAAUUACCACCAUGGAUCAAGACAUAUCUUACAGUCAUAAAUUGCUUACCGAUUACUCAGCAACAUAAAAAAAUUACUCAUAAAGUAGUUGGUUUGGAGUAGUUGGCAACUAAAAGAGAUUUAAGAUUCUUCAUGAAUGUAAGUCAAUAAAUCAAAUCCCUUGACCUGAUUCUAAAUCCAAGAUUUUUUGGAAUAAUUUCACAGGUGGUUCAGUUUCCAAAUUCCCCCUUGACUCCUUUGAAUCCUCUCUCCCAGUAAACUUGUUGGAUUUUUUGGAGUAAGCGUCCAACCAAAAAAAAAAAAAAAGAUUACUCACCAACAUAAGACUUUAAGAAAAACACUUAUUAAAAUCAGAACUAUGACUCUUAGCCCAAGAAGAUAUGGGCUUGCUUUUAAAAUAUUAAUACGUCUCCAACAGAUUUUCAUACGUUAAACCCAAUUGGAUUUGCCUCCAUCCAUCCCAACUUUAAUCUGGGCUAUCGCCCAGUCCCCCUGUAAGGCUAAAACAGUGCCUAUUGCAUGCUUCGUUGCCAUCCCGCUUCAUAAAAUUUUUAACGGCAAAAAUUUAUAAAAUAUUCCGUCCGUCGAGAUCAACCGGCACAGCUGCAGCUUGUGGGCAAGCCCUGCAAAAACCCCCCAAAAAACCUCCACAACUAUUCUGGAAUCCUCAUCAAUUCAUCAUGCUUAAGAGCAAGACCUUUGUCCGAAAAACUAGACAAGGAGCAAUUCGCAAGGUCAGUCUCUUAAUCUCCUUCCCUUCAAUCUACAAUUUUAUAUGUCUUUCGAAAUGAUUUGUUUCUCAAUCUUAGGAUUCUUCUAUUUUAGCUGCUGAGGUCGUAAAUGUCAAGGAAACGCGAAAAAAAACUAGGGUUUUUGCUUUUGAGCUUGAAUUUAUAUUUUUAGUUUGAAUAAAAAUUACACUUGCAGGAAGUCAGGGAGCACUAUCUGAGAGAUGAUAUAUAUUGCGGCGCGCCAUUUUGCAAAGUAUGUGACGUUUCCGGUGCUCGCUUGAGUGACUCUGCCUCCACACUUCUCAUUCUCGACACCAAUGUUGUACUUAAUCAAGUAAAUCGUAACCUGUUUUUAUAUUUGUUAUGUAUACUUAAAAAGAGAUUGCGUAGUAUACUACAGUUAUUUCUGUUGUUGAUUUUUUUUUUGUUGUUGAUGGUUGUUGUAAUAUUAGAUUGAUUUGUUGGAGAAUCCAGCGAUUGAUGAUGUGGUUGUGCUGUCGGUGGUGUUACAAGAGGUUAAGAAUAAGAAUAUUGGUAUAUAUAAUCGCCUUAGGGCUCUCUGCAGUAACUCUUCCAGGAAAUUCUUUGUUUUCUCCAAUGAACACCACAGGUAUUUAUUUAUUUGUGUUUAGACUUAUUCGUCUACGUAAAGUGCAGAAGAUACAUAAGCCCCAAUGUGUAUUCAAAUUAUGUUUAUUAGUAUCCAUCAGACUAUAAUAGUUUGCACUACAGUUGGUAGGCUCUAGGCUUCCCUUACGCAUAGAUAUUUUCACUUGUAACUUUAGGAAUUUGUUUAAAUGUCCGAGUUUUGUUGAUUCACCAACUGACAGAUUGCUGCCUUCGAAAGUUCGAUGAUUUUAGAUCCCUCAAAUGACUUCUUAACGUAAUCAGCUUUUAUAUCAUAAACAUAUUAGUUCGGUUUCAUCUAUGGUGCUGUGAAUCUAGUUUUGAGAAUAGUCAAUGAUAAGUUCUGAAGUCGCAGCAUUGACAAUGUCCUUUGUCACGUAGAUAGUGUAUUUCUUUUACAUGGUUUUAAUUCAUGUUUUCUCUUUUUGAUUGCAAAGGGAUACAUAUGUGAAAGAGAUGGCUGGUGAAACUCCAAAUGAUCGGAAUGACAGAGGUUUGUUGUUUUGCAUUACACAAACAGAAAACACGUGUGCUUUAUCAUGUUAUCAGGGUUGCAAGAUUCAGUCAGCUGUGCAUUGGGUAUUGGGAUGUGCAUGCCUAUGAAUGUUGAGUGUCAAAUACUACAACUUUUCUUCCUUCUAAAUGGUUCACAAAUUACUUCUUGUUAUUUGAAUUGGAUGCUAGACCACUUGUUAUAGUUUUUAAUGGACAUAAAGGGUUUAACAGUGCUUACCUGAUUACAGAAGAUGCUAUAUUUGUGAAAUUUCUGCACAUGCAUGUUACCACGGUUGUCUUCAAGCGAGAUUCUGGUUACAUCACACUUCAGAAUGCAGCUGCUCCAAAUUAUAAAAGAAAUACUCUAGUCUCUCCUGUGAUUAUUAAAAUGCAGAAGUAGUGAAAAAGAUGAUAGUUGCAUGUAUGUUCUUUAAUUGAUGUGUCUGCAUUUGAUCUCAUUUCCUAGUUCAUAAAAAAUUAUAUUUGGAAGUUUCCAGUUUCUUUUGCAGUGUUUUUUCUUGACCUGUUAAGGUUAUUAAACACUUAAAACUUUGAAAGAUGCCCAAAGUUCUUUUGGUCACAUUAAUACGAGAUUCUUAUUUCUUUAUUAGUAUCAGCAUAUGGGAUGUUAGUUUUUUAGCAUUCUCAAUUUUUAAUUUGGUCAAAACCUCCAUGACUAAUUAGUCAAAUGGGAAUGAGCACUUGCCUAAUCUUUCAGACCGAAGUAGUUUUAGACGUUUCACCGUUCAUUUAGCACCUCAUGUUGAUAUCAUGGGGAGGUGUUACAUGGAAUUUCUUGUCUUUUUCUUUUUUCCCUCCUCCUAUACAUGUGAACAAUUUUACUGGCACUACAUAGAAAUUUUUUUGUAUUGUCUUGAAGUCUAAUACUAGGAUGUACCACCGACUUGUUUGUAAUACUCUAUCAGUUAUGGUAGAUGUACAGACAUGAAAGCAUACAACUGUCAAUAUAAGAUGUUAAAAAACCUUUGGUGCUCAAGUAGAGAUGACUUAUUUCAAGACCAUGUAUGGGUGUCCUAAUAAUUUGACUCUAAUAUUAAACUUCAGCAAUCCGAGUUGCAACACAUUGGUAUCAGAGUCACCUCAGUAAUGUUGUUCGUAUCUUACUACUCACAAAUGACCGGGAAAAUAAAAGGAAAGCAUUGGAGGAGGGAAUUUUGGCAGAUACAGGUAUAGCAUAAUCUCGUCAUCAUCUUUGUCCUUGUCUUCAUUACCACUUUAUUGAUGGUCAUUGAGACUAAAAGUGUUGAUGUAGCUGUUCUUUAGCUACUGCUGAGCCAUCAUUUUAUAUAUAGUACUUCAUUCUCAAUGUCAAUUUAUCAUACUGGACAUCCUGUGGCCCAAUAUUUGAUUAAUAAUGUCUAGCUCCUUUUCAGUUGAAUCAUACGUGAAGACACUUGGUCAGCCAGAGUUGCUAGACCUGAUUGUUCAGCCUUCAUCUGAGGAUGUUAACAUGGAAGAUGUGGAGGAUCUGAGACCUUCAAAGAGAAAAGUCAUCUACACUGAGGUAUACCUUGAAUAUCUUGUUUACUUGUACUCUGAUAAACAAUCUUCUGUCUAUUACUGUAUUUACUUGUUAUUUAAUUAUUGUGCAGCAUAAGCCCAUGUCAGAGAUUACUUCUGGCUUGCUUCGAGGGAUAUAUCAUCAAGGAAAACUUCGUGUUAACCGUUACAAUCCAUUUGAAGCAUACGUUGGAAGUGAAAGCAUUGGUGAUGAAAUAAUUAUCUAUGGGCGUGCAAAUAUGAAUAGAGCUUUUGAUGGGGAUGUUGUGACUGUGGAGCUUUUGCCUCAAGAUCAAUGGCAAGAGGAGGCAUCUAUAGCAAUAACUAAUGAAGGUUUUUACUUGUUCUCUUUUCUUUGAGGGCAUUAUCUGGUUAUUGAUGACAUAAACUACAAAAGUAGUGCUUUGGUGUUGAAAAACUAGUCCAAAACUUUCUUACAAGUCAAACAAAAAGGAAAGAAAAUUUUCCUUUGCUUUCCUUUUAUUUUGAUGUUAUCCGAACACUGUCUAGAGGGAAGCGGAGGAGCAAAUUCUUUGUUCAUUCACUUAUCAUUGGAUUUUGGAGGUAAGGUGGUUAAAAUGAGUGUAGUAUCUUGAUACAGGAUGAAGGCAGUUACUUUUCUUACCAAUAAGUUAAGGAUUUGUCCUUCAUUACCUCCAGGGACACUAUUGACUAAGCUUAUAAGUUGAAGAUCCCCACAUACAUGCAUGAUCAGUACUCCUUUACUAUUUGUUUUAUCUGACAUCCAAUUAGUUGCGCAAAUACUCUUCUUGGGAUGGAAGAAGUUUGUGGAUGUAAAUAUGCUUAAUGAUAUGAAUAAAAAGAAAUUUGUUGCCCCUGCACCGCUUCUUGGUCCUGAGCACCAAGUGAUUCUUUAAGUUUAAAUUGUUUGCCAGAAUACUACAAACUUUUUUACUUUGAAGCAGCUGAGGAGUAUCAUCCAGAUACGUGGGCGAAAGUACAUGGACGAAACCAAUACGAAUAACUCUGUUGCCCUUGCUCUGCUUCCAUGUCCUGAGCACUAAGUGAUUCUUUAGGUCUGAAUUGUUUGCCAGAAUACAUGAAAUUGUUUGGCUUCGAAGCUGCUGAAAAUUAUGAUCUAAAUCGAAGAAGCACUUCUCUUUGGAAGGAUUAGUAUGUUAUAGAUAUUUGGCAUUUUUUAAUAUCAAGUAUACAGGCAGUUUUGUAUCUAUAUUUAUGCUGUUGUUCCAACCAACUUUGUUCGGUGGGAUCCAAAUUCCUUCCUAGCUGAUAUUUACGAAUUACUCUAGCUAGUUCUACAUUUAGUUUACAAUCAACUUAGCAUAUCCUUUGUUUCUUUAUCUGCUUCAUUUGAUUCAUCCAUCCCUGUGUGUGUGGUUCUCACCCUUUUCCUCGCAUUGUUUUUCAAUGAUGUCCUCUGCGAGAAAGGAGAAACCUGUGUGUGUGUGUGGAAAUUUGUGUUGAAGCUAUGUGUUUAGUUAAUUUUUUUUCGCAGAGGAUGAUGAGGAAGACGUUCAUCUGCCCCCAAGUAGUUCGGAUGAUGCUCCUAGAGCCACAAAUCUUGUGCAAGGAUCAGCUGGGGUCUCAGGUUCUGUGCCAUCCCGUCCUUGUGGACGUGUUGUUGGUAUUAUAAAACGGAACUGGCAUUCGUAAGUUAAAUACGUUUGUUAUUGAAUUGCUAGUUACCUGCAUGAUGUUAUUUUUUGUUAAAUUUGGUUGGCACUCAUUGUUUCACUCGCCUCUUACCUCUUACCUAUAUAUGAUUUACUAAAUUACUAUCUUGAUGGGUUUUACCCUCAAUUUCAAAAGAGAGUCUUCUUAAUAUUUAAUAUCAUCUGACGCAUUAGACUCCUUGUAUUGCAAGUCUCUAGAUACUGCUCAAUUUUAAAUUACUUACAGAAAACUCGUACAGAUGAAAAUGUUGUGUGGGUUUUUGCCAACUACCUUAAUGCAUUGUUCUUCUCUCAUUGGGCUUUUGGUCUGCAAAUUGCUGUUCGUAGUGAUUGGAGAUUCAUUCAUUUUAACUACUGCUUAGGAUAGUACAGUCUUAAAGUUGCAAACAACUUUUUUAUAUACAAUACGAAUUCUGUAGUGGUCUGGGGGGCAUAACACUAUUUCCUAGGGAUUGCAAUGGAGUGUAGGAGUAUCACCAAUUUUACACUCAUUUCAAUCAUAAAUUCCUUUGCAUAUUGCAUCUCAACCAUCAGCUUGAUAUGCUUAGCUUUUUGCAGAAUUGAUUUACACCAUAAGAAGAAAAUCUUCAUGCUCUAAUUUGAAGGCUAAACAAAUCUUAUUCAGAAAUCGAUUAUUUGCAGAUAUUGUGGUUCGGUGGAGCCAAUGCCUAUGCCAGCAGGCAGUGGUGGUGUUGCCCAUGCUUUAUUUGUAUCCAAAGACCGUAGAAUUCCUAAAAUCCGCAUACAAACGCGUCAGCUGGGGAACCUUUUGGACAAGAGGAUUGUUGUUGCUGUUGAUAAAUGGGAUAUUUUGUCUCGAUACCCAUCUGGUCAUUAUGUGAGGACAAUAGGAGUAAUAGGGGACAGAGAUACUGAAAGUGAGGUACGUUGCUAUGUCAUUGUUACACUUACAGUUCUGAAACAGAGUUUUGCAUUAGCUCUGUAUCUUCAUGGUGUUUGUUUUCCAUCUAUUGUAGUUAAACAUGAUUUUUCUCCUUUAUACUUGUCAUACUGAACUUUCUAGUCAUCUGUGUUCUUUAUAUGAGCUUGAGAUGCUUAAGCCAAAACAGCUGGGUAUAACAUAUUGAUUCAUCACAAUUUAUGUAUAACAACUAUAUUCUCUUGUCAUGUGUUUCAGGUUGUGCUGUUAGAGAAUGAUGUAGAAUUCAAACCAUUUUCCUCUCAAGUUUUAGCGUGCUUGCCAGCGUUGCCUUGGUCUGCGUCUACUGAAGAUCUUGCAAAUCCUAUCAGGCAGGAUUUGCGACAACUCCGUGUAUUUAGUGUGGACCCUCCAGGUAUGUAGUUCCAUUUAUAUUUCUGAAGUUUUUCUUCAAUUUCUGUUUUACUAUUUCUUUUUUGAUAUUUUUCUAGUUGUUCAUUAACACCUGUCUUAUGCUUAUCAUGGUGCAUUAGGAUAGCUUUGUUGUGUAUUUCUAGUUUUAGCUGACAUUCUUAUUUUCAUCUGGUGCAGGAUGCAAGGAUAUUGAUGAUGCAUUGCACUGUACAGCUCUUCCUGAUGGAAAUUUUGAAGUGGGAGUUCAUAUCCUUUGAGUUACAUUUGUCCUUUUCCUGUGUCACCUUACAGUACUCGUUACUGACUUUUCCCUAGUCUUCCCUGGAUGGUAAGUUGGGUUUUGUUGGGGGCGGGGGCGCGGGGGGGAGGGGGGAGGAGGAGGAGGAGGAGGGGGUGAUGUUUUAGGUGUGUUGGAUUCUGCAAAAGAAAUAAUGAGCUACCAUGAGUAGUGCUCGUGUCAAUUUUAUUCUUUAACAACAUAUCAAAUAUUGCUGAUGUCACAAACUUUGUUCACUCUGGAACACCACUUGAUGAUGAGGCUGCAAAAAGGGGUACCUCAGUCUACCUUGUUGAGCGCCGAAUUGACAUGCUCCCUAAACCCCUAACAGAAGGUGAUACUUGCUUUGCAUUUGAAAAAAAAAAUGCACCAUAGAUUUAUGAAGAUUUUGCUGAUUUUCGUCUAUGCAAUAACAGGAUAAGUUUUUGUUGAUUUUGCAGAUAUAUGUUCACUCCGAGCUGAUGUUGAGAGAUUAGCCUUCUCUGUGAUUUGGGUAAAUUGUUCCUCCGUACAUGAUCAAAUUUCUGCUAUCCUUUGUCCUGAUUUUUCAGUCGAAAAAUUUUCUGUAAUCCCCACUUUGGCAAGUGGCAUGAAUGUACAAACGUGGUACUAUAUAGAGUUUAUCCACGUGUUGUACUUAACAUGGUAACACUUCCAGUAUGCUGUAUCUUGACAUUGACCACUUAUGAUGGGAUUUAGUUGUUUUAAGUGUUUGCUCCGUGAUUGUGGGCACUGUUUUAUCAGAUGUCAUUUUUAAGCUAAUUUUUUCCUGAAGAAGUGGUUAUAAGUCCAAUUUCUUCCUGUGUUGUUCACUCGAUCAUGCUAGCAGAAGCUUAUGCUGUCACUCAGAUAUUACCAGGUCAAUGAUACUAGGUCAUGAACAGACCCAGAAGAGGAGUAUUUUAAUAGCCACUUCAAUUUCCAUAAGAGUUACAUUCUUUUUUGGUUUUUGGAAGCAGUUAUUAAUGAGCUACAGUUUCAUUUUGACAAGCAAUAGCAAAGAUUUUACAGUCAAAAUGUGCAAUUUAAUGAGUUGUCAUGGUUCUCAGUUUGUUGAAUUUAUCUUGUCUAGUAAAUAAAUACGUGUCACUACACCGUCUACAGGGACUUUUUUCUUUAACACAUCAGUUAACAUGUUAAACGCUUCUCCCUUUCAGGAAAUGACUCCUCGAGCAGAGAUUAUUUCCACGAAGUACACAAAAAGUGCAAUAAAAUCAUGUGCAGCUUUGUCAUACGUUGAAGCUCAAGCAAGGAUGGAUGACAGGUGCUCCUAUAUUUUAUUUCUAUUGCAAAUUGUUUUCUUGAACUUGAGGACAGACAUAUCUCUGAAAGUACCAUAUUACUAGUUUGUUUCAGCAUUAUGGUGAUAUUUGCUUUGAAUCAUAAAUGAUGUUUUUCAAGUAAAAAUUGGACUAUGUUGCUUGAAUAAUGAGCUGUGAUGUUUAUAUAACAUGUUGGAUAUUGGGGUUAUUGUUUAUGUUACUUAUUGUACUAUUACCUUUCUUAACUAACCUCCUCUUUAAUAUCACAAAUAUUUUUUAUUCUUUAUCUGCAGUCGACUGGUGGAUCCAUUAACUACUGAUUUGCGAAAUAUGAAUGCUUUAGCGAAGGUAUUGGCACUAGUUGUUUCAGUCAUUUUCCUCAUCCCCACAUUUGGGUGUGUGCGUUUAUUAUUGUGGACUACAUCUUGAAUUUUGCAGAUCAUGAGGCAGAGACGUAUUGAUAGAGGGGCACUUACUCUUGCUUCUGCUGAAGUCAAAUUUCAAAUUGAUACUGAAACUCAUGAUCCCCUUGAUAUUGGUAUGUCCACGCUCUUCUAUUUGUGUUUACAAUCUAUACCUUUAGAACCUGCAAUUAAGAAGUGCUCUUGACCUCUUGACAAGCAGAUAGCAGUGUCUAGAUUGGGCAGAAAUUCAUUUUAGUGUCCGAACUGCUGAAGUUAGUGUUGGACCAAUGUUGCCAACACCUCUUCUAUGAUUCCUGUAUAGAAGUUUGCAAUGUUGAGCAAAGAUUACUUAGUGUGGGUUUUUUGUUUGGCUUGUUGACAUUGCCAUCUUGAGAUGUGACCUUGAAAUUCAAAUAAACUAGCAUAUAACAUCUAUUACCAUCAUCACACCAUUAUAGGACAACAAAAGUAAAAGUUAAUGAUCACCCCUCCCCUAAUCACCAUUUUGACUUGUUUGCUGUAAUCUUGUAUAAGAGAUAGUAGAUGUUCAUAAAUGUUUUACUGGACGUGGUCAUUUACUUGUCAUUGGCUUAUGAAUAUUCGCUAUCCUGUUUUUCGGCCAGAAUCAUAGUUAUAUUUUGCAUUAACCAUGUUUUAGGAAUGUAUCAAAUAAGAGAAGCAAAUCAAAUGGUUGAGGAGUUUAUGCUUGCAGCUAAUGUUUCAGUUGCUGAAAAAAUUCUCAAACAUUUUCCCCUGUGCUCAUUACUGAGGUACAGUAUAUAUUCUUUUUAGUUGUUCUUUGUUGCAAAUUCUAACACUGACAGAAUUACUUUUUGUAAUACUACUGUCUUUUACUUACCUUUUGGAAUGAAAUUGACAUUCAUUUUCCGUUAAUUUCAACAAAACAUGCUUUCGUUACUCUCUCUCUCUCCCCCCCAAAAAAAAAGUGUGUAUUAUGGACAACUGGACUUUUAAUUAAGCAUGCUGAUAAGAUGGAUUUUCUGGGAUGCAGCAUUCUCAGAAAUUGUAAUAUGGGUCGGCAACUGACUUACUGAUUAUUAAGAAAUAAAAAGGUAAUGGAAUUGGAUUAAUUAACCGGACAAACUGCUAAUACUCUGGACAAUAUCCAAUAUUUUUGACUGACAGGAGAAUAGUAUGCGAAUCUCAGUCUACCUUCUCAUUAAUCUCCCCUUCUUCUGGCUGCAUUCUGUUAAUUACCCUGCUGUCAGUCCAAGGGUGACAUGCAUCACUAUGUCUUAUUGUAGUGUUUGAGAUCUAUCUGUAGGUGUGGCUGUGCAGUUCUUUAAUGUGUCUUGGGCAGUAAAUUAUCCCAAUUGUGCUUUCAGAAGGAUUUCAUUGGUGCAUGUAUUUUCCUUUUUAUAUAGUUAGUGAGAUAGUGAAGUCUAAAUACUAGUUGCUUAGGCUGUUCUGUUGAUUUUCAUAUUAUUAAUCUAUUGCAACUAUAACAUUUGCAGACGACAUCCUACCCCUACAAAAGAGAUGCUUGAACCUUUAAUUCGAACAGCUUCAGCUGUUGGUCUCCAAUUGGAUGUGUCAUCCUCAAAAGCACUUGCUGAUUCGCUUGAUCGUGCUGUGGUCAGAAAAGGAUUGGAUUUUUCGUACUUUUGUUUUUUGCAAUUAUAAAUUUGUUUGCUUUCAUGAAUUCUUUGGCGUGUGGUUUCUGUUUGUCAUUUUUUCCCCAACUUGCUACUACUUUAAAAUGUGAUGCAUAUGUUACAUGAGCUUGUGCUUGUUUGAAGAUACUGACUUUGACAUUAAUUUCCUUCUUUCUCUAGCAUCAUCUUUAAUUUCUAGUGUAACGUAAUAUCUGUAAUUAAGUCCCUCUUGAUUCAGAAGGAAGUAGUUCCAAUGAAACUAUUAGUGAAAGAAUGAUGAAACAAGCUAGAAAUACCUUUUGCAUCUAAAAUCCAUGCACAUCUUCAAGUCUCUGGGUGGGUUUUGAACAGCCACAUUGAGUCUGGCUGGCAUCAAUAUAGUUAGAAGGGUUUUAAUGCAUCCUAGAUCCAUGUGUUUAGGGGUACAACUUUGCAUAUAAUUGGAGGAUCUGCUUUUAAGUGAGUGAUUCAUCUCUGUAGCUUUUUAAUAGCUGGCAACUGUCCUUAAAUGAGGUAGUAAUGGUAUUAUAAAUCUAAACUCUAUGUCUCUUUGCUUUGCUUCUUUUUACUUCCUAGGAUCUCUGCCAUUGCAUGCAUGUCAAUGUGUAAGUGUUAUAUAAAUGACACUUUCUUUGCUUAUUUUUCUUGAAUGAUAAAUAACACCACUUGACUGUUCUUUUUUCUCCAGGGUGGUGACCCUUACUUUAAUAAGCUGAUUCGUAUUCUGGCAACUAGAUGCAUGUCCCAGGUACUUCCAUUUCUAUAAAUAGUUUAUUUUCAUUUAAAUACUGUGCUAUGAGAUGUUUCAGUCAUUCUUUAUCAAAUUUAUGUUCUUCAAAUUCAGGCAGUCUACUUUUGUAGUGGAGAGCUCACUCCUCCAGAAUUUUAUCACUAUGGUCUUGCGGCACCUCUGUACACUCAUUUCACCUCUCCCAUUAGAAGAUAUGCAGGUAAUACAAGUCCUUUGUGAUCUUUGAUCAACUUGUGAAAGCUAAUGACUGAACCUUAUGGUAUUUUUCUCCGUUGUAGAUGUGAUUGUACACAGGUUGCUUGCUGCAUCCUUGGGAAUAUAUAGGCUUCCUGAUGUACUGCAGGACAAAGCUCAGCUUACAAGUGUUUCUGACAGUAAGAAUCACAUCACUUACACCUUCAUAACUUGUUCUCUUUGUAACUAUCACUUACAUAAGGUUGCUGAAGUGCAUGUAAUACAUCUUGGUUGAUUGAGUUGUUCAAUUGGGUUUCCUUUCAAUCAAAGAAUUAACAGUUUCAUGGUCGAAGCUUUGCUGGUGGUCUUGUAAUAUGGAGUUUUGAUUCACUUAGCUGGAUAUUUGUUUCUGCUCCUUAUUAGCACUAUUUACUCAUCGCAUUUUUUUCACUUGCAUAAACUUUUCAAAUAGAAAAGUUGGUGGGGUUUAUGUACUGUUUGACAUAACGUAGCUACGACUUCAUUUUUGUUUCAUUAUUAGCUGAAUAUUGCUGAAGAGUUCCAUUGAAUCUUUCUUCAAAGCAAUGCUUGGCUCUACUCUUUUCAUUCCAAUAUGCAUGGAUAUUUUUCUUGUGUGGAUAAGUAACAGAACUGAAUGGGGAAACAAAUAAUAUGAGUUAAUGAAUUUCGAAUAUUUAAUCAUGUAGCCAUGUCACUGUAGAAACUACACUGUCUAGCAGACUCUGGAUGUCCAUAUACUUCUGUCCACUAGAAAAAUGGUGUGACAUUCUUGAAGUCAACAAAAUGUGGUAUUUUGAAGCUUCAUUGAUGAUUGAAGCAGCCUUAUUGGGUUCCUCUUGUUUUUAUCUUCGAUUAAUAAAAUUGAUAAAUAAUGAUAUGUCCCUUGCCAUUGUGAAAGUCUCAUCACAUUCAUUGUCAUCUUGCUUGAAUCAGUUUGCAUUUCUUAUUCCUCGAAUGUGUUUGACUUAUGUUCAUCAAAUUUGGUUCUGAAACUUGCUAUUGUAAAUGGGUUCUUAGACUUAGUUUUGACGUUUGCAUAUUGUAUUAGAUUCUGGUAAACAUUUUGACUAGUGCCUAUUUCAAACAGAUCUAAAUUAUCGGCAUAGGAAUGCACAAAUGGCUGGUCGGGCCUCAGUUGAGCUUCAUACUCUCAUAUAUUUCAGGAAUAGGCAAGUAUUUUAUUUUUGAGGAGUCUUUUUCUCCCCCUCUGCUUUCUUCUCCCUAUCCAAGCUACCGCAUGCUCUCUCUCUCUCUCUCUCUCUCACAUAUGUAAUUUUGUUAUUCUACUAAUGCAGGCGGACAGAUACUGAGGCCAGAAUAGUGAAAAUACGAGCAAAUGGUUUCAUAGUUUUUGUGCCCAAGUACGUUUUGUUUCCUUGCACUUUAAUUUACAUAAUGUGCAUCUCCUGUAUUUUAGUUUGCUUUCAUCAGUACAGGGCAAUCAUAAAAUUUCACAACUUUAGCUCUUUUAAUUGAUUGGCUAAACUUCUGAUCUGAGCUUCCAAAACCCAAUCCUCUGUCCCUACAGUGGCAUUUAUGAUAAAACUGUCCUGACAUGGUGAAAUUUGAAUUUGAUUAAUUAUUUAACAAUGAGUUCUUUUUUUAUUAUUAUUAAAAUGCAAAAUUAGAGCAAUUUGUUUGUUUGACUGGAGUCCACCUAAAAAAAGGGAAGUAGCGGACCUCUCGUGGAAAUAGUUUCAGGUUGCUUAUUUUGAGAAUCCUUUCCCAAUUAUGUUGCAGGUACGGUAUUGAAGGGCCAGUUCAUUUGAGCAAGGAGGGAGAAUGGUUGGUUGAUGAACAGCAGCAGAGGGUUAGAAAAAGUGACAAUAGUGUUCACUAUGGCGUUCUUCAAACAGUGAAGAUUCAUAUGGAGGUUGUGGAGCCCCAACCCCACCGGCCGAAACUCCAACUAACCUUAAUUAACGAUACAGAUGUUACGAUAAUGUGAGAAAAAUGUCUGCUGAUUUGUUUUCCUUGCAGUAGAAUUAGCCGUGUACAGAGUUGUAGGUUUAGUCAUUCUUGGUCUGGUUGUGCCGUGUUGUAGUUGUAAUGAUGCCGGAAUGCUCAUUUUUCCAUGGAGAGUAAUCUAAUUCUUUUCCAUUGUUUGUUUUCAUGGAAAUCCUGCAAAAAAUGAUUUUUCGUUUUUAUUCUAACAUUUUUCUUUCUGGAUGGAUUGCUGUUGAUAAUGAAGCUUCGGGUUUGACUUGGGUUCAUCGCUUCGUUUAAAAGAAAAGAAAAUUUUGGUUCGUUUCCUUGUUUCAGAAUUAGAACUUGGUUUAUUCCCACUGAUGAUGCUGGAUUAUGGAAUCCUUGAAGAUUGCCUUAAAUUGAGCUGCAAAGCCAGGAGUAUGACAGGGCUUUGUGCUUCUUUUUUAAAAAGAAAAAAAAAUUCAAGUACGGAAUUUAAGAAACUGGAGUAGAGAGAGGAAAGGAAGAUUUGAAUUAAAAAAAAAUUAUGUAUUCUAAGGCUUCCAAAAAAGAAAAAAAAGAUGGUGACCUCUUCAUUUUCUCCUUUCUCUUUCAUUGGUAGUCCCUCUCUCCCCCUCUAUUGCAUCUUUUUCUUUCCACAACAGGCUGCGGACACUCGGACUCCUCUUCCUUUAACUGACCCAACUUGGAUUUUUUUUAUGGGGUGAGUGUAUUAUUUCGAUGAAUUAAUCUCAAAUCUGUAUAUUUCUAAUUCCAUCGAGUUUUGGAGGAAAAUUUUUUUCUUUCCAUCACAUUCUUUGCAUUCUAAUAAGAGAUUUGGUGACAGAGGGUUGCUAGAUAGUGUUUUAGUCAGAGAUAUGGUGGUGGGGUGAGAGUACAAGGAGUUAGACAUAGAAGAAAAAGAGGAUGAAUAGAUUGAAAAGGGAAAAAAAAGGAAAAAAAAAAAUAUAGGUAAAAAAUGAUAUUAAAUUAUAAUACUUAUUCCUUGCAAAUAUUUGCCAAACACUAGUUAUUUGAAUAAACCCUCAUGAAAAACCCAUACUCAUUUUUUAGAAAUGAUUCCAAUUACAAUUCCGAUUCCUUAGGUUGAGCCAAACGCCUCUUUGUCUUAUUUGCCUCUUUUUGUUGUUUUACAGAAUUUACCCUUUAACAAUGUGAAAAUAAUUUGCCUAGCAGUGCAGGGGUAAUCUUGUUAAAUCGGAUCGACUAGAUCCAAGGACGGACAUGAUUGGAAGUGAAGCAAGAUUAAUCGACAUCUUUAGACAAUACACCAGAUUUUCCCAGCUCUGACAUUUUCCGUGAGGGGAUAUGUGGAAUUGAUGGUCCUCCAGGGAUGCAAAAUCUUAAUCCGACACUCACUCUUGCAUAAUACAAGUGAAUGUCUGGGUAAACGGAUAUGGGGAUCAAGAAUUAAUGAUACCUAUAUCUAUUGUUUGGUAGACUAUAUUAGGAAUCAUUUAAUUUGGAAAGAAAGUGUUAGAGUGUAUCAUUCCUUAUUUAUAUCUUGGCUUCUAAAAUAAUUAUAAUAAUAAACACUUGUAUUUGUUGUAGAGUUUAUGAUCUCAUCUCCACCAGAUGUGGAAUAGAACUAAACAUAUAUUGGGAGUUUACGGGUUUUGCGUUUUAUCUGCAUAAUUAAUAUUUUCAAGUAUCGUCAUUUAUUAUUCAGAGUAUUUCAUUCAAAAGUGUAUGUUUAUAAAUAAAUUAAUAUAUUUCUACUUGUUAUUUGAUUAAUCACAAUCAAAUAUUUAGAGCCAUUUUUAGGAAUAAGAGUGGUAAAAGUUGACGUAUCAUUAUUCUCCACCUAUUCGCUUAGAUUUCAAAAAUCGGCACAGUGAAGUUUAUUUCAGAAUUAAAAAGCCAUCUAAUGGAACAAAUAUGUAGAGAUGACACCUGUUCCACUGGUGACUUUCCUGAUUCCCGUCUCGAUUCCAAAACCCAAACCAAACGGCAGAAUUAUUGGCAAAUCAAUUCCAAGUAAACACUACUACACCUUUUUUUUUUUUUUUGUUAUUUCCUUUUUCUAUGUCAACUGUAGUAAUGAAAAUGUUAAAAGGCAAAAAGCGGAAGGAACAGACACCUAAUACACUGUCGUUUUGGUCGGCCUCAACCUGAAAGGCUGAAACCGACAAUAAUUCAGAAAGUCUCUCUCUGAUUGUCUCCUCAAUCUUUUCUGCAUGCAUAAAUCCAGAACCGAGUAAUCAUACAGAAGAAACUGAGGGUUCAAUACGUCGUCGCUGUGAGUUGCAAAAAAUGUAUCAGUGGAGGAAAUUCGAGUUCUUCGAGGGAAAAUAUGGGGAAAGAAUCACAAUCCCGGAGGAGAUCAGUGGCAAAAUUGAAUGUUGUUCCAGUGGCCGAGGAAAAGUUGUACUGGGAUGCGACGACGGCACCGUUUCGUUGCUGGAUAGAGGGCUCAAGUUCAAUUCUCAAUUCCGAGCUCAUUCUUCUUCGGUCCUCUUCCUUCAACAACUCAAGGUAGCGUGGCUUCACAUUUGAUCAAUUUUCUGUCAGAUUUCGGAGCAUUAGUAUACUAGCAGUAAGUCUUAGUUUAAUUAUCAUUUCGUUGGCAAACUGAUUGUUCCGUUUGCUGGCUGCAUGAUCAGCAAAGGAAUUAUUUGGUGACUGUUGGAGAAGAUGAGCAAUUGUCCCCGCAAUUUUCAGCGGUGUGUAUGAAGAUUUUUGAUCUGGAUAAGGUUCAACAGCAGCAUGAGGAGGAGGGUCCCAGCACCUUCAGUCCCGAUUGUGUUCAGAUUUUGCGAAUUUUUACUAACCAGUUUCCUGAAUCUAAGGUAUACUAGGAUCGUGAAUGUUGCUUUUUAGCAAUUUAUUGCAUCCAUUUUUAAUAGGUUAAUUUGGUUAAGAGACCCUGCUUAGAUAGUCCUAAUUAACGAAUGAAAGGGCAAAUUUUUGGCCUAUAUGCUUAACGGGUACAGAAUUUACUGCUAAAUUUAUUAGAAAAAUGUAGAUACUGAUGUCCUGUAAAGCUGUGCUCUCUUUAUAGAUUGAGUAUUCGAGCUUGCCGCUUUUGACAACUUUUAUGUUUUAAUGUAUAUGAUGUUGGUUUUGGUUUGUCAAAAGGAGUAUAAUUAGAAGAACUAUUAUUGAUGUGUGCAGAUUACGUCCUUCUUAGUAUUGGAGGAGGCUCCACCUAUAUUGCUUGUUGCUAUUGGAUUGGAUAAUGGUUGUAUCUAUUGCAUUCAAGGGGACAUUGCUCGUGAGCGUAUCAAACGCUUCAAACUUCAAGCAGAUGCUUCCAUUACGGGCCUAGGGUUCCGAGUGGAUGGUCAGGUUCUUCAGCUAUUUGCAGUUACUCCAAGUUCAGUACAUUUGUUUAACUUGCAUACUCAACCUCCUACUGGUCAAAUGCUCGAUAAUAUUGGAUCCGAUGUCCCUAGUGUUGCUAUGAGUGAUCGCUCGGAGCUGAUCAUUGGACGACCAGAGGCAGUGUAUUUUUAUGAAGUUGAUGGUCGGGGACCUUGUUGGGCUUUUGAGGGAGAGAAAAAAUUUCUUGGAUGGUUUCGUGGAUAUUUGUUGUGUGUUAUUGCUGACCAAAGUACUGGAAAGUAUUCUUUCAAUGUUUAUGAUCUGAAAAAUAAGUUGGUUGCACACUGUGUUGUAGUCAAAGAAGUUUCUCACAUGCUUUGUGAAUGGGGUAAUAUAAUACUCAUUAUGGCUGACAAAUCAGCCCUAUGUAUUGGUGAGAAGGACAUGGAAAGUAAACUAGAUAUGCUUUUUAAGAAGAGUCUUUAUACAGUAGCCAUCAAUAUUGUACAGACCCAACAAGCUGAUGCUGCUGCAACUGCUGAGGUGCUGAGGAAAUAUGGGGAUCAUUUAUACUGUAAACAAGAAUAUGAUCAGGCUAUGCAUCAGUACAUAGACACAAUUGGUUAUCUCGAACCCUCGUAUGUUAUACAGAAGUUUUUAGAUGCACAAAGAAUUCACAACCUUACCAAUUACUUGGAGAAAUUACAUGAGAAAGGACUUGCAUCAAAAGAUCACACCACUCUGCUCUUAAACUGUUACACCAAACUGAAAGAUGUCGAGAAGUUGAAUCUGUUCAUCAAAAGUGAUGAUGGUGGUGGGGAAACUAAAUUUGAUGUAGAGACUGCUAUAAAAGUGUGCCGAGCUGCAGGUUAUCAUGAGCACGCGAUGUAUGUUGCGAAAAGGGCUGGGAAGCAUGAAUUGUACUUGAAGAUUCUGCUUGAAGACUUGGGGAGGUAUGGUGAAGCAUUGCAAUACGUCAAUAGUCUUGAACCAAGUCAAGCUGGUGUAACAGUUAAAGAAUAUGGUAAAAUUCUGAUUGAGCACAAGCCUGCUGAGACAAUUGAUAUACUUAUGAGGCUAUGUACAGAAGAAGAACCAGCCAAAAGGGGCACCUCAAGUAGCACAUAUGUGUCGAUGUUGCCAUCUCCUGUUGAUUUUAUUAAUAUCUUUGUUCAUCAUCCCCAGUCACUUAUGGAGUUUCUUGAAAGAUAUACUAGUAAAAUGAAGGACUCACCUGCUCAAGGAGAAAUUCAUAACACGCUCUUGGAAUUGUAUUUAUCCCAUGACCUGGACUUCCCAUUCAUCUCGCUGACAAAUACUGGUGAAAAUGGUGCUGUGAUUUCUAAAGGACAUUCCAAUGGGAGAACAUUUAUUAAUCGACCAGAUGUAAGUGAGGGAAAAGAUCGUCGGGAAAGAUUUCAAAAGGGUCUAAACUUGCUUAAGGGUGCAUGGCCACCAGAACAAGAUCAACCAUUGUAUGAUGUUGGUCUGGCCAUAAUUUUGUGUGAAAUGAAUGCUUUUAAGAAUGGGCUUUUGUUUCUUUACGAGAAGAUGAAACUGUAUAAAGAGGUGAUUGCCUGUUACAUGCAAGCACAAGACCAUGAGGGUUUAAUAGCAUGCUGCAAAAGACUUGGGGAUUUGGGGAAAGGUGGUGAUCCUUCUCUUUGGGCAGAUGUACUGAAAUAUUUUGGUGAACUUGGGGAAGACUGCUCCAAAGAAGUAAAAGAAGUGUUGACUUACAUUGAGAGGGAUGACAUUCUACCACCUAUUGUUGUUCUUCAGACCCUUUCUAGGAAUCCAUGCCUCACUCUCUCUGUCAUCAAGGAUUAUAUAGCUCGCAAGCUGGACCAUGAGUCAAAGCUCAUUGAAGAAGAUCGAAGAGCCAUUGAGAAGUACCAGGUCUGUGUUCUUUAUAAAGUAUAUACAUUAGACAGCUUCUUUUUGUCACCAAAAUCCUUUUGAGUGUGCGUGCCAAUGGUUCUGAAUCACCUUUGAGUAGGAUAGAUCGCUUUAUGACUUCUAAGGGCUUGGACAUGCAGCAAAUUUGGUCUCUCUCUGUCUCUGAAUUUGCAGAUGGGUUAAUGUUUUUAGAUAUCUAAACCAAACGUUAAGUUGUAGCAUUCUGUAAGUUCUGGAAAGACUCAUUUGUUGGAUUGUGAGAACACGCUUUUGUGCAAACGUUUGAACUUUUACUUAUGUAGUGUGUUUUAUUUGAUUUUAGAUAAAGUAAAUGAGUUGAGGUCAUAAAUAUAACAAUCAUUUACUGCUUUUAUAAAAAUCUUAGUCUUAGUAAAGUGUGUGGCCUUGGGAAUACGAGCAGGAGGGUGCUGGGACAAGGGAGGGGAAACAUGGGAAAUGUGGUGCCAAUUUUGUUGAGGUUUGCAGUUGGGGAUUGUGGGGUUCAGCAAAGCAGAUCCAAAGAUGAAAAGAAACUGAAAGGAAAAAGGCCCAAGGCUCUGGUUCUGUUUGGGUAACACAGGGUUUGGUGCUUAUGCUCAAGCAUUAUAGUGUGCACUGACUCUAGAAUGGAGAAUUUGCUGAGGUUAAAGUGGAUACCAGAAGAGUUGUCUAUGCCAAACAUUUAAAUUAUCUUCUAAACGCUUCUUGGUGAUUAUGUGACAUAAUCUUGGGCUGCCCAUGUCAACCAAUUUCAGUUUGUUAGCCUUGACGUUUUGCAGUUAGUUAACUUGGGGUCUUUUCAUUUUUUUGUUUUGUUUUUUUGGAAAAAAAAGGGGGGGGGGGGGGGGGUUGGUGUUCAUAUACAAGGUUUUCUUUUUGGAAGUACUAGGUUUUGCAUUUUAUGGACUCCUUUUGUAGUCUAGAAAAACAGUGCACAAUUGUGUACCUCUCUUGCCACUUUUCCAAUUUUUGGUCAUGCAUUAAAUUUUGUUAAUCACCCAAGUCCCAACCUAUGAUGGAAGAGGAAGAAAGGAGGUUCAUGGGUAGGUGUUUUUGUGCUAAAAUAUAUACACACAAGGAAGUCAGAUAUUACUUUCCUGACAUUCAGUUUGCCUGUGUAUGCCUUACAAGCAGAGAAAGUAAUUAGUAUGCCGCAUGUGCAGUCUGCUUCAUUGUUACUGUUCAUGGAAAUAGUUUUCUUGUUUAUGCAAGUCUAAUUGUUUUCUUUUGAGCUGGAAAUAGUUUCUUCAUUCCUUAGGAUGGGUUGCAAGCAUAUCCAGUCUGCUCCAUCAUUACUAUUUACAGAAGUAGCUUUCUUUUUAUGUAAUUCUAACCGUUCUCUUUUAAGCUAAAAUAGUGUUCUUCAUUCCUUAGGGUGGGUUGCAAGCACCAUGUGCCUUGUACCUUAUUACGACAUGCUCUUGCACCAUAAAAUUCUUUUCUGCUGGGUUAUUAAUGCAAUUGAAAUUUUAUGACAUCUCUCUUAUUCUGCAGGAAGAAACAUCAGCAAUGAGAAGAGAAAUUCAGGAUCUCAGGACAAAUGCAAGAAUAUUUCAGCUUAGCAAGUGUACUGCAUGCACUUUUACACUUGAUCUUCCUGCUGUGCAUUUCAUGUGUAUGCAUUCAUUUCACCAGCGCUGCCUUGGUGACAAUGAGAGAGAAUGCCCUGAGUGUGCUCCAGAGUACAGAUCUGUCUUGGAAACCAAGAGAAGCCUUGAGCAAAAUUCCAAUAACCAAGAUCAGUUCUUCCAGCAUGUUAGAAAUUCGAAAGAUGGGUUCUCUGUGAUUGCUGAAUACUUUGGGAAGGGGAUUAUUAGCAAAACUAGUACCAGACAGGCCGGUGCUUAGAUGAAAUGCGUUACUUUCAACCCAACUUCCAUCUUAUGUGUGCAAAUCUUUGUUUCUCUUUAUGGAAGUUCAACAGGAGAAUGUAGCAAUUAAUAAUGAGUAUAGCCAAGUCUUGAUUCAUUGCUAUAGUCAUCAACAAAAGUAUAUGUCGCGAGAAUGUGCGUCUAGAAGAACAUCAAAACAUAUGCGGUCUUGCUGAAUUUUGCCGUCUCUAUCGAACUUCAAACCAAGUUUGCGAGUGUGUUAUGUAUGUUUCAAGUUCCACGUAAUCCCCAAAUCUCUUCAUUUCAAUUUGAAUUUAAGCUACAUGGUGUAUUGUGCCUUUCUCCAACUUUGGGUUGUUCUAAUGGCAGGUUUUUGUCUCUGACUUUUGGGUUGUUCAAACGGCAGGUUUUUGUGAUACUUCAUGUAAUCAUGGUUUAUAUUGAAAUUCUUGAUGGUUCAACGAUUUUGUAAAAGAUUCACAAAAUAUUGACUGAGAAGUAUUUCUAACUGGGGCUCCAUGCCCAGAUGAGCUAUUAUUAUAAGCUGUGCAGAUGUUUUUUAAUCUUGGACCAAAUCUUUACUUCUGGAGAAUUGGUGAGCAAGAAGGCUUCAAGUCGACCUUUUCGUAGGCUAUUGGAACGCAGAUUCAGAUCCCAUCAAUUUGGGGUUCAACGGUGGAGUCUUAAAAUCUUCCAACAUUGAACAUUCUUUUCUUUUUUCUUUUUUCGUUCCUUUUUAAACAUCUGGAGAAGGGAGCUAGACAAGAAGCAAGUGUAAAUUUCAAUGCAUGAAAUUGAAAACCAAAUACAAAUGCUUGUCCGUUGCUAAAAGAGCAUGGCGACUCUCAUGAUGAACUUAAUGGACCAUUAUUUACAUUGAAAAAAAAUCGAAACAAAAAAUCCAAUAAUCAGAAUUGUAAUACAGAAAUCCAUAUUAUGAAAAAAAAAAUCCAUAUUGUAAUCCAACCAAUCUCGUAUGCUUCGUUUAGACUGCUACGG
rnacentral:lncRNA from 1 species